rnacentral:lncRNA from 1 species
AAUUAAUUACCUUGGGAGGACUUUUCUGCAAAUUGCACAUUGUAUAUAAAGUGCAUCUAGGGUUUCUUUGCACGAAACCCUAGAUCUAGCCAACCUAGUUCCCCAGCUACGCCCUAGCUAUCUUCAGCAGGUCCCUGCCCUAGCCGUGCACGCACCUCGGCCGCAGGCAAGCUUCCACGGCCGCCGAAAAAGCUUGGUGGCCUCUUCUCCACCAUCUUCUCCACCUAACCGCCACCCUCCUCGGCCGCCGAUCUCAGGGAUCAACUUGCACCCUUGGAGACACCACCCUCUGGCUGAGACCAACCUCCGGCGGCGUCCCUGUCGGCCUCUGCCGUCCGCGCGCACCACCGGCACCGCCUGGGCUCCCUGCCACCAACCCAGACCCGGCCUGGGUCGAGCUCAGCCUAGCCCGAGGCCCGUGAGCUGCCACCACCCUUGAUCGGCCGCGUCGCCCUCCUCGGGCCUCCGGUGAUGUCACGCCUCGGGACCCAGCAGAAGCCCGCCCGACGCGUGUCCAGACCCGCCAUAUGUCUAAAACAUAUAAGGCGUCUAAAACAAAACGAUAAAUAAGGCAAGAAGAGAGAGAACAUCUAGCUGUAUCAGAGCAAAGCGUAUUCUAUGAGCUACAAAAGGGAAAUGAGCAUAAAGUGAAAUCCGCUAUGUAAAAACAUAAAGUAAUACAAUAAGAAUCCCAAGAAUGAAAGCUAAACGAGGUACACAGGUGGUCUCUAUACAUGGUACAAAACUCUCUCUCUCACAAAAACCAAAAAGAAGAGAGUGACCACCUAGGAGCGACAGCAAGCUCCGCUAUCUAGCUAUGCGACUCCCUUGCCGCGAUCCCGUACCUCCGCCGGUGCCAAAGGCUCUCAAAUAAAACCAUAAAACAGAGGGCGUGAGAACUAUUGAAUAAUAGUUCCCAGUAGGCAAUUACUGGCUUCAGUGAAAUGCACCACUAAGUCCAAACUUAAAAAGGGGUCAGUAAGCAGAUAUAAACAAGAGCAAUAUGUACGACAAGUAUAUAAGCAUGAAUAUUUGCUACCACAUGAUAUCUCUACUUAGCAUGAUUUAGCAUAAGUAAGAAAAGCUAUUCUCGUAUGAAUGUACCCAAGCAUCGCUAGUAUGAUGUCCAUAAGUCAAAUAGUAAAGAUGUCCUUGUUUACUAUUCUAAUCAAUGUCCACAUGGCAUGAUGAAUGUUCAAAGUCAAAUCUGAAGAGACCCGCCUGAAAACUGUCUGGCCCUGAGACCCACCCGUAGGCUGUCUGGCCGGUGCCUAGCCUAAUGGUCCCGUGGUAGUCAACAUCCCUACUCUAGGAAUGAGCCUAGCCCACGGCAAUCCACUUCGGCGCCCAAUCCCGCACGGCGAAUAUGUAUCGCGAUGGCCAUCUUCGGAGUGCUGGCUUGUAGGAAGCGACCCUCACAAGUAUGUGCGAAUGAGUACAAUGGCAAGUAACCAAAAGAUCCGUCUCAAGUACCAAGUUCUCAUGUCUAACAACAUAAAAUACGUCACAACUCUCUCAUAGGCCUAUCUCUAUGUCAUCAUGUCUAAAACAUAGAAAGUAGUAGAUGUCCAUGACCUAUCAUUAAGUCUCAAUAUAAUAGUCUCAUAGUUUGCUAGUCCAAGUGCCCCUUUAUGACACUUUCAUUUACUAAGUCCAAGCUUAAACCAAAUGUUCAUAAAUGCAUAAUUGAGCCACUUUAAACAUAUGAGGCAUGUUUCCCAAUGGCUAGUGCGAACACUACUCAAAUGCAUGUAACAAUACCCAGAAUGCUCUACUAUAUAGAGUGAAAAUUAUCUUACACAUAACACAUGCAUUUUAAGUGUUCUAAAAUUCACAUAAAUUUCAUUUAGCAUAGAUUUGCAUUUAAAAUGAUGUUACGACGGGUAUAGAAAGAAUGGGGGCCAUUUCGCCCCGUUCUCAUGAAGCCAAACCCACCACAACUUUUGCGCUCCUUCGUUUGCUCCAACGAAGGUGUCCACUAGUCUCCUAGCACCCUAAAGAUGUAGGAAUAAGGGUUAAACGAAUCUUACGAUCAACCCUAAGUUCAGUCAAUAAGCAACAUAGGCUAAGGUGGAGAUACUCACCUCAAGUGAAGAAAUCCUCUCUCAAGCUCUAAAUGGGAGUUAGAGUUCUUCAAAUCCAACCUAAAUAAAGGUUCUAAACCCAUCAAUUAGGUUUCAAAGCCCUCAAAUCGAAAAUCCCCAAAAUAAACCCUAAAUCCCAAAAUCUAGGGUUUCUACCAACAAAAGCACCAAAGCUAGAAUCUAAAGGAAGGAAACUAGCCACAUACCUCUAGGAUGCUCCCAAUCAAGCUCAAAAUCCUCAAGGGUUGAAGAUUGAUCCUCCUCAAAGCUCCAACCACAAGCUCUAACCCUCCAAAGGUGAGAAAUGAGGUUGAGGAAGAUGCUCCAAAGCCUCCAAGCUAGUUCUCCUUCAACUCCUUCUUCUUCUUCUCCUUCUUCUUCUCUUUCUAGAGAGUGUAGAGAGAGUGUGAGGGAAAGAGAGAAGAGAAAGGCUCUAAAAGCCUUCCAAUGUAACAAAAUCCUGAUAAGCCCCUCAACAAUCUAAUCAGCACACUGCCCGAUUCUGGGCAGUUUUCGUUCAGAGUGACCGGUCUCUCCCUGCCUAGGACCGGUCUCUCGGAUCGUCCCGCAAAACCAACGUUCGGGAACCGGUCUCUCCCCACAUGGGAUCAGUCUCUCCCCGCGAAAACGUACUCGGGGAUCGAUCUCACCCGCCAGGGACCGGUUGCCUCAAGUCCUGCCGCAGCACUGUUCCGGGGGGACCGGUCUCUCCCACCAGGGACCAGUCCCCGAGAGUGAAAACUCUCAGGACUUAGCCAAAACUCCAGAAAUCGAACUUUUAGGUUGGAAUACCAUCUACGAUCUUCCACCAAGUGUGAAAAAGUUCAGAAUCCAUGAACCUCGCAAUUUGCAUAGGUUCGGUGUGUUACAUUCACCCCUCCUAAAAAGGAGUUUCGUCCGCGAAACUCAAAAGCAAACACAUACCUCAAAGCUCCAUCAGAAAAAGAUGGGGAUAGCGCUCCCGCAGCGCGCUCUCUAACUCCCACGUGGCCUCCGGCUCCCCGUGGUUGCUCCAAAAAUCCUUUACAUACGGAAUAUCCCGAUUCUGCAGUUUUUUCACCUCGCGAGCCAAGAUCUUUAUGGGUUGCUCCUCAAAGCUCAAGUGGUCCCGCAACUCCAACGGUGUAGCAUCCAACACAUGAGUCGGGUCGAAGACAUACUUUUGAAGGACCGAAACAUGAAAGACGUUGUGUACGCCCAAUAGGUUCGGUGGUAGAGCAAGUCGAUACGCUACCGGACCUACACACUCCAAGAUCUCAUACGGUCCAAUGAAACGGAGGCUCAACUUAUCCCGAAUCCCGAAUCUCCUGAUCCCUCUAGUCGGCGAGACCUUCAAAAAUACAUGGUCUCCAACUUAGAACUCCAAGUCUCGCCGCCGUCGAUCGGCGUAGCUCCUUUAUCUACUUUGUGCCGUCAAAAGUCGCUCCUGAGCAAUUCGAACUUUGUCCUCAGCUUCCUGGAGCACAUCAGGGCCUAAAGCCAAACUCUCGCCGACUUCACUCCAAUGAAGUGGCGAUCUGCACUUCCGUCUAUAAAGUGCUUCGAAGGGCGCCAUCUUGAUGCUUGCUUGAUAACUACUGUUAUAAGCAAACUCCGCCAUCGAUAGAUGCUGCGACCAUCCUUCCUGGAAGUCUAUCACACAUGCACGGAGCAUACUUCUAAAGUCUGAAUGGUGCGCUCCGACUACCCAUCACUCUGGGGGUGGAAAGUAGUGCUUAAGUCCAAUCAGGUGCCCAAGGCGUCUUGCAGACUCCUCCAAAAGUGAGACAUAAACCGAGUGUCUCGAUCCGAUACUAUCGAAGUAGGCACUCCGUGAAGUCGCACAAUCUCAUCAAGGUAUACUUGUGCGAGCUUCUCUCCGGUCCAAGUUGUAAUACACUGAAUUUUUGCAAAUUGCGAAAUUCGAGUGUGAGGAACGAUAUGUGGAUAUAUCCUACAUAUUCUAAAAGGCUUGGACAAGUUUUUGGUCAAGUUAGAGGAUGAUUGGAAAGCUAGAAGUGAGAAAGUGCAUUGAAAUCGCGAAAUUGGCAUUUUCUGCAUUGGUGUACCGGUACAAGCAUAAUGCUGUACCGGUACACCAAUGCAGCAGAGUCAGCUGCUACGGGACAGCAGGGUUAGUUUGGACUUUUCACCUCUUGUUCUUAUCUAUUUCAAUCCAGCAUGACCAGGGAUGCUCGCUGGAGUGUGCUAGAGCUCAGGAGAGCUGCCCUGCACCUUCUCCACUCUCUCUCUCUAGGGUUUUUCUCUCUCUACAUGGAAUUCGUUGUUUCGCGCCGUUUCCGCGCCGUGCUCGUUGUUCGCUGAUUGGAAGACUCGAGGAAAGUGUUUGGAACGUGGGAAAGAAGGGUUUUAUCGAGUUUUCUGUGAGGAUAUUGCUAGGGAAGCUGAUUCGCAGCUUCAGAGAGGUAACUACCUUGAUUUCUCUCGAAUUUAUGGUUUAGUAUCGGAUUUUGACGCAGUUUAGUGUCGUUGCUUCCAACUGAAUUAAAAGAGGUUUACAGCAGUAAAAAAAGAGUUAUUUGGCUGCUCAAUUAUCCGUUUAAACUCAGAGAUAUGUUGCUUUACAGCUUAUUAAGGGUAAUUGGUGAGUUAUAACUCAAUUUCGGAACUAUACGUGGUUUAAUCGCGUAAUUGACGCAGUUUCGUAUGAUCUCUUCGCAGCAGGUCUUUGAGCCUCUUUUAGCUGAACUUGUACUCUUAGAAGCUGGUUUGGAAGCUGUUCUAACCAAGGGUAAGUAGGAAUUUCAGUUAGAAAACUGAAUUCGCGAGAUUCCGACUAUAUUAUUAGUAAUUGAUGACUUUGUUGCCGUUUUGGAAAUAGUUCGCAGCGGACUUGCAACGGACCUUCGGAUUACCUUCGGCUGAUGCGUGAGGGAUUUUGGAAGCUUAACUUGAGGUAUUUAUUGAGCCAAAACAGGGAUUUAAGCUAUUCCUAUGUACUAAGUCCAAUUACGCCAAAAUUGGACCUUUCGGUUGAAGUUUUAAUACGAUAUUCAUGCCUUGUGUUCAGCAGGAUUGAGACCUAGUGGAGCUGAUCCUGGGGAUUCCUUUGUACUGACUUGAGCUUAGUACAAGGUGGGUCGGACCUAACCAGAGCAAGUGAAGCUCCCCUAUGUUCUAUGUGUAUUAUAGAAGUGAUCUAGCCUAUGCGUAUAUGAUUAAUAAGGACUUCGAAUGCGUCACCUUAAUGUUAGCUUGUUUGAAAUGAAAUCUCUAUUAAGUAGAGAACAUACAUGCAUAAGGUAUUCAGGUUUAUGCUGACUAGUUAAUAUGUUUCUAGCAUGUUCUUAGACACUAGAGAACAAUGACGUUCUUAUGACUUUAAUGACCCUAAAGUAUAGAACAAUAACAUGCUUUAUGCCUAUGCUGAUAGCGCUAUGAUAGUAGAAAGAUUCUAAUGCCAUAUGUAAAGUAGCAUUCCUCUCGCAUGUUUAUUAACCUAGUGGAUACUAGUUGUUGUCAAUAUUUGUUAUACAGAAAUGUCGAUCAAAGGAUCGAGAGCGAGAAUAUUGUGAGUUAAAACAUGAUAAUUGAGACACAUUGGACUGUGGAUUAUGCUUGCCUGCCAUCGUGCUCAUUCGCACAUGCUUGUGAGGGUAGCUCCCUACAAGCCGGCACUCCGGAGUUGGCCUACGCGAUAGUUGCUCGCCCGUGCGGGAUUGGGUGCCGAAGUGGAUUGCCGUGGGGAGUGUAUACUACCACGGGGCCAUUAGGCGCGGCGCAAGUUGGACUACUUUGAGUAGAUUCUUAUGAAUGAAAAGAAAGUACUAAAUGACAAAGGACAGUAAUGAAUGCUCAUCAGUUAUAGUUUACAGUAUUUACUUACACAUCCAUGUUCAUGCUUUUGUUUAUAGUAGUUGCUAUGCUUCUAUUACUCAACUGAUUCAUUACUGCAAAAAUCAUGAUUACAUGUGAUUACAUGCCUAUUGCCUGUUAGCAUUGCAUAUUUAUAUCAUGUAAUUAUCACUUUUACUUUCAUUUAGUACAUCUUGAGCCCAGUGGUGUAAUUCGCCGAGGCUGGCGGCUUAACCACUGGGAACUAUUGUUAAUAGUUCUCACGCUCUUUUUAUUGUUGUUUUUACAGAGCCAUCUACAGGAGAGGCUAGGGAUUGUGGCAAGGGAGUCGCGUCUAGCUAGACAUUGCUAGGAGCUUGCUAGUCGAUCACCUUGCUACUCGGGCUACGGUCGAGGGUGGUGUCCCCAUGUAUAGAGAGACUACCAUUGUAUCUUCUUUCGUAUACCCCGUGAUGUAUAUGUACUUCUUGGAUAGUCACUUCAGUUAUGAUACUUUCUCUUGUAGUUGAGAUUUUGGAUUGUACACUCUUUGUUCUUUUGCGGAUAGUAUAUCGACUUGUACUUUGCUCUGAUAUCAGGAUAGAAUUUUCUAUGUUUUUCUUCUUAUCGAUUUGUGUUCUUGUAGACGCCUUAUAUACUGCAGGUGUAUGGCGGGUCUGUGCACGUACCGGAUAUACUUCCGCUGGUACCCGGGCGUGACACAAGUAGUAUGAAUAGGUAUGAAGUGCGCCGACUUCGUCAACCUAUCCACGAUCACCCAAAUAGCGUCAUGUCCGGCCUGAGAGCGGGGCAAUCCAGUCACGAAAUCCAUGGUGAUCUUCUCCCACUUCCACACGGGAUCGGUAAACUCUGAAGUUUUCCCACGGGUAAUCGGUGCUCAGCUUUUAUUUGUUGGCAAGUUAGACAUCGAGCUACAAACUCGCCAACGUCCUUUUUCAUCCCGGACCACCAAUAGAGCAACUUUAAGUCCUUGUUCAUCUUAGUGCCACCCGGAUGUAUAGCAUUCGGUGCUCGGUGUGCUUCUUGAAGAAUAUCCUUUUUAAUUCCCGAAUCCGCCGGUACACAAAUCCGCCCACUGAAACGCAUCAAUCCUUUGUCAUCCACAAGGUAGUCGCUGGUGCAACCAUCAACCAUUUUACCUUUAAUCCUUUGCAACUCCAUAUCGGAAGCUUGCUUUUCUUUAAUUCGAUCCAAAAGUGUAGGUUGCACUACCAAAGUCAUUAACCUCAAGGGCGUGUCAGGAGUCACCACCUCCAACUCCAACCGCUUCAUCUGCUCGAUCAGCCGCGGUUGAGUAACAACAUGCAUCGCUAAGUUUUUCGUUGAUUUCCUACAUAGCGCAUCCGUCACCACGUUAGCCUUGCCCGGGUGGUAAAGAAUAGUAAAAUCAUAAUCCUUGAGCAGCUCCAACCAUCUGCGCUGCCUCAAGUUUAACUCCUUCUGAGUGAACAGGUAUUUCAAGCUCUUGUGAUCCGUGUAUACUUCACACCGCUCGCGAUACAAGUAGUGGCGCCAUAACUUCAAUGCGAAGACUACGGCCGCCAACUCCAAAUCAUGCGUAGGGUAGUUCUUUUCAUAUUCCUUUAGUUUGCGCGAAGCAUACGCGAUCACUUUGCCGUCCUGCAUCAAAACACAGCCCAAUCCACUAAGAGAUGCAUCAUUGUAAACCACAUACCCUGCUCCAGCAACUGGCAGGGUUAGGAUUGGGGCGUUCGUCAAUCGUUGCUUCAACUCUUGGAAGCUUCUUUCACACGCAUCAUUCCAGAUGAAAUUGACACCUUUUUGCGUGAGCCUUGUGAGGGGAGUAGAUAGCUUAGCGAACCCCUCGACAAAUCUCCAGUAAUAACCGGCCAGUCCAAGGAAGCUCCGUAUCUCCGUGACACUCGUCGGUCUCGUCCAAUCCUUGAUUGCCUCAAUCUUUUUAGGAUCCACGGCUAUACCCGAUCCCGAUAUCAAAUGUCCAAGGAAGGCUACCUCCCGAAGCCAAAAUUCACACUUUUUCAACUUGGCAUAAAGCUUCUUUUCCCGAAGUAUUUGAAGUACAAGCCUCAAAUACUCCUCGUGAUCCGCACCACUUCGGGAAUAAACCAAAAUGUCGUCGAUAAACAUACGACGAACCUGUCCAGGUAAGGCUUAAAAAUACGGUUCAUCAGAUCCAUAAAAGCUGUCGGGGCAUUAGUAAGUCCGAACGGCAUAACUGUGAACUCAUAAUAUCUAUACCGUAUUCUAAAAACCGUCUUCGAUACAUCCUCAGGUUUGAUCUUUAACUUGUGGUAUCCCGACUGCAAGUCGAUCUUGGAAUACACACACGAUUCUUGAAGCUGAUCAAACAAGUCGUCAAUCCUCGGUAACGGAUACUUAUUCUUGAUCGUGACUUUAUUGAGUUCACUAUAGUCCACAUAUAGGCGAAGUGAUCCGUCCUUUUUCUUGACGAACAAAACUAGCGCUCCCCACAGCGAGACGCUCUGUCGAAUAAAGCCCUUAUCCAACAGAUCCUGUAGCUGUGCCCUCAGCUCCUUCAGCUCCGCCGGUGCCAUCCUAUAGGGUGCCUUCGAGAUUGGAGUAGUCACAGGGACGAGAUCUACCACAAACUCGAUCUCCCUAUCGGGUGGCAUACCCGGUAGCUCAGCUAGAAACACAUCUUGAAACUCCCGUACCACCGAGAUAUCCUCAAUCCUAGGAGUGUCAUCCUCGCCCCUCAACACAACACUAGCCAAGUAGGCUACACAUCCUUGGCUGAUCAGCUGCCUAGCUCGAGACGAGCUGAUCGACAUCGCAAAAAGCGAACUCCGGCAUCCUCUAAACACAACCUCAGUUGCCCCGGUUCUCUAAAAGUAACCGUGCGAUUCUUACAAUCAAUCAUGGUAUAAUACUUGAUUAGCCAAUCCAUAUCCAAGACCACAUCGAAAUCCCCAAGCUUGCGCAAAGCUAGCAAAUCCACGGACGUGAUCCAAUCUCCUACCCGAAUAGGGCAACUAGGGCAAUACUCUCUAAUAUCCAGAGUGUGGUCGGGUACAACAACAUGUCCCGGAUGCAAUAAGGAAAUCAAAAGGAUGCCAUGCAACUCGGCAACAGCCGAUCUAUAAAUAAAUGCGAUGCACCGGUAUCAAAUAAAGCACGAACUCUAAUGCCAUCAAGUAAAAUGAACCUGCAACCACAUCCUCGGCUGCUGCCGCCUCCUCGGUCUUAGCGGCAUAUAAACGCCCACUUGGGGCCUGUCGAGAUCCCUCGCUCUGGCGCUGGACAGGUGGCCGUCCAGGCUAGUACUGUGUCGACGGAGUCCCGUGGCUGACGGCUGGUAGAGCCGGUGCCGAUGCAGUCGACGGUGGCGGUGAAGAACCUCUCAGGCACUUGGUCCGAACGUGGCCCUCCUGGCCACACUGGAAGCACCUGCCCGCCGGCUGUGGACACUGCGGUAGGUAAUGAGGACCACCACAGAUCACACACGAGGAAGGCCGACGACGGUCAAAACCUCCUCGCUGCGCUGCUGAGCCGCGUCCACGCUGCUGGCUCCUAGGAUACUUCGGCGGUCUCCUAGAGUGCGUCUGGCUCGCACCCUCAACCGCAGGCCUCUUGGACUUACCUUUGUCCAUGGCCUCUCGCCGCUCCUGGACAUCUGCCGCGCUGCUCUCCACUAUGAGCGCGCGAUCCACCACCUCCGGGUAGGUUUGGAGGUUAGAGGAUUGCACAAACCGGAAAAUCGAUGGUCACAACCCUCGCUCGAAGAUGCGGGCCUUAUCCUCGUUGUCCCGCACGACGAAAGGCAUGCAGUGCAAAAGCCGAGAAAACUCCCACUCGUACUCGGCUACAGUCCGGUCUCCUUGGCGCAAGUUGCGUAAGUCCUGCUUCAUCUUCCUCUUGACGCUGGUCGGGAAGUAGUGCGCCAACAGAAGCUCCUUGAACCUCUUCCACGAGAUAGCCGCCAAAUCAGUACUGGGGUUCUCCUGGAGAUCCAACCACCAGCGGUAGGCCUCGCCGUCCAAGUGGUGUGUGGCGAGCCAAACUCGAUCUCUCUCCUCCACGAAGGUAUCGCGGAAGAGCUUCUCCAUAUGCAUCAACCACUUUUCCACGAUCCAGUGGUCGACCUUCUCGCCAUCAAAGAUCCGAGGACUGCACCUUCUAAACUCGUUGAGGCGCUCCAUGAGUCGGUCCCGCUCCGCUCCCUUGACCAAGGUAGGGAAAGCUGCUCCAACCGGGGGCCUCUUCACAGGUGGUACCGUGAUGGCCUCCUCCUGAGGCACGGCCGCGAGCGCUGCUCGCGAAGAACUGGGAGCCGAGAACGACGCUCUCGGCGCGACGUCCACAACUGGUGCUAGCGGUGUAGGGGCUUGAGUCUCCCUGGAGGCUGCCGCCUGCUGUAAAAGAAGCUUCUCCAGGCGCUUCAUCCGGGCCUCCUAUCGGUGCGCCGCCUCAGUCUGCUGUCGGGCCGUCUCCGCCUGCUGCGUCACCAAGUCAGUAAGAGCCGCAAGUUGGCUCCUCAACUCUCGGACCUCGCCGGAUCAGGAAGGCGGAGGUCUCGACCUCCUCCAAGUUUGCCGCGUUAUCCGCUCCGGCAGAUUGGGAGCGUGUAAUCGGCAUCGUCACUACAACAUCAUAGAAGUGUAAGUUAGUAAACUCACGCUAUCGAAUCCCCACUCAAAAAGGCAAUACCCAAAUCAUGCGAAAGUAAGAAAGUGUGCUUCACUACUAACUCCCGAUGUUACGUUGUCGGCCGCCAACGUAACCCUCCACGAAGUUAGGAGCUAUACACUACGAUUUAACUCCACUUUCUAGAGUUAUCAAGGUACCCAAUCAUGAUACUUUCGCUCGCAAGUCGAAUAGACCUCGUCUCUCACGAGCCUAUUUCCUAUAGUCCAACCGGCCUAAGGUUUGCUAGGUCCACAAAGACUAAACCCUAGGCUCUGAUACCAAAACUAAUCUGUAACGCCCCGGGACCCAGCGGAAGUGUCACGCCCCGGGACCGGCGGAGGCCCUCCCGGUAGCGUGCCCAGACCCGCCAUAUGUCUACACAUAUAAGGCGUCUACAAUAAAAGCGGAAGUAAAAGCAAGAAAUAGAACAAAUAGAAUAAUAACAACUAAUGAUAUCAGAGCGAGUAAAGUUCUAUCAUCUAAACUAGAGUAAAAGAAACAUAACUAGACAAUGAAAGUAAAGCACAAAGNAGAAUAAUAACAACUAAUGAUAUCAGAGCGAGUAAAGUUCUAUCAUCUAAACUAGAGUAAAAGAAACAUAACUAGACAAUGAAAGUAAAGCACAAAGUGAUACAAUGCUAUCUCCUCAAAAAGAAUACAAAGAUCUAAAAGAAGGGUGGUCUCUAUACAUAUACGGGUACAACUCACAACCUCUCACAAAAUAAAACCACGAGAGAUAGACCACCUAUCAAAUCACCCUCGAAGGAAGCUAGCUCGAAGCAACUCCCUUCCCUCGGUCCCUAGCCUCUCCCGGCAUGGAAGGCUCUAAAAGAAAGUAUAAAACAGAGGGCGUGAGAACUAUAAUUUAUAGUUCCCAGUGGGCAAUUACUGACCUCAGCUCAAUGCACCACUAGGCCCCAAAAGAAAGGGUAAGUCGAAAGCAAUAGUAAUAACGAGUAAUUUGCAUUUAUGAAAGUAUAAUGAAAUGCUAAACUAUUACUUGCAAUUAAACAUGGCAUUUAUGUAAUGCACAACUAUGUUGUCAUGAAGGAUAUGUCUCUACUUAGCCAUAAAUAAUGUCAUGGUUUACUUAAUGAAAUUAUGAGGAUUAUCCUUUAUCAUAGCAACAUUGUAUAUAUGAAUGCAAAUAAGCAAUGUCUCCUAGCAUACUACAUGUAUGUAUGUAUACCCAAAUGUCCAAAUCUAUACUAGAAGCAAGUCUGAGUAAUCCAACUACUACUCUCUAUCUAGUAGUAAUUAUAACAAACUCAUCCCGUGUCGAUUUUCAUUUCCAAUUAAGGACCUACCCAAGGUAGUCCAGCUUGUGCCGCCUAAGUGCCUGUGGUAGCCUAACAUCCCUACUCUUGGAAUGUGUCUGUCCCACUCGACCCCGUAGGCUUCUCAAUGCCGCACGAGCGAACAUAGUCGCAUAGGCUGACUCCGGAGUGCCGUCUUGUAGGGAGCGACCCUCACAAGCAUGUGCGAAUGAGCACAAAUGGCAAACAAGCAAGGUCAAUGUCUCAAAUAUCCAAUCAUCAUGUCUCUAACAUGGCAAUAAUCACUAGCAUCUCGAAGAUCUAGUUCUAUGUCACAAUGUGAAAUUCUCAUAUUUACUAAGUCUAGUGCCCCUUUAUGACACUUAGACAUUUUGAUGUACAAGCAUAUCCAACUCUCUCAGUGGCACUAUCCACUAGGUUCACACAUAACCCGAGCUCAAUGCCCCUUCAUGACAUUAGCCCAAUUAUUCACAAGUAGUACAAGUCCCCGAGCCUCUGUAUGGCUUCUAAAAACCUUUAAGUCUUAAAUAGGAGUAACUCUAAAUGCAAGCAUGAGAUGCUCAUUUUCACAUUAGGAAUUAGAAUUUCGAGUCUCAAUAGGGUGCCGAACAUGUACAAGUUCCACCAGCUAAUUUUCUACUAUACAGAGGUCCAAAAUUUUAUUGUACAUAACAUAGGUAUGUUAAGCAUCCUAAAAUUCACAAUAAAUGUAUCUAGCAUGGAAAUGCAUGAAUUUUUUUUGUAUACGAAACACUUAUCACCAAAUAUGAGGAUUUCUCAUAUCAUAGGCUAGGUCAAACCCACCGACGACAACGAAGCUUUUCGUUUGCUCCAACGAAGGUAUCCACUAGCUUCCUAGCACCCUAGGAACAUCAAAAAUGGGGUUACUCAAACGAUACGAAGAGCAAAAAGCUCAAUCAUUAACCUAGAAGCAAAAGGGGCAAAACUCACCUCAAGAGUAAAAAUCCUCUCCUAAGCUCCAAAAGAGAGCUAGAACCCUUCCAAUCCAAGCCCAAGGAAGGUUCUAAACCAAUCAAUCUAGCCUCAAAAGCCUUAGAAUGAAAAUGCCCAAAAAUAAACCCUAAGUUCCAAAUCUAGGGUUUCAUCUCAAAGAAAGCUCUAAAAUCCAAAACUAAGAGGAAAGGAUCUUGCCACUUACCUCUUAGAAGCUUCAAAACAAGCUCAAAGUCCACAAACUUCUAGGAUCUUCCCUUCACCAAGCUCCAAACCCAAGUUUCCAAGCUUCAUCCAUGGUGGAAAAGGCACCAAAGGGCAAAAGAGAAGAAAAAUCCAUAAAAAACCAUGCAAAAUGGAGAUCAAAUCCAAAGAGGCAAGGGAGGACUUCUUUUACCUUGUCUCCCUAUGCUCUCAGCUCAGAAAAAUGCCCUAGGGCGUCGGGGGUUCUAAUAGAAGAGCUAAAAAAGCAAAAACACCUCUGCAGAUCAAACUGUGCGAAAUCAGUCCCCUUGUACCGGUACACAGGCUCUUGUACCGGUACAAGAGCCACGAAAAUGCCAACCCGAGGCUAGGGUCGCCGGGUUCAGCAGCUCUGUACCGGUACAAGCCAGUGGCUGUACCGGUACAACCAUCAACCUUGUACUUAUACAGCCAUCAGCCCUGUACCGGUACAAGCCCGGCAGAAUGCAAUCCGAGAGUCAGCCAAAUUCCGUUUUUUCGGAUUUUGGUGCAAGACUUUAAACCACAAUUCUCGGGACACGUGCUAUAGGUCGGAACACAGUCAACGACCCACCAGAAAAUCUGAAAAAGCUCAGAACACACCCAAAACACUCGAACCUCGCAAUUUGCAAAGGUCCAGUGUGUUACAGGAAGCCCGCCCGGCGCGUAUCGAGAGCCGCCAUAUGUCUAAAACAUAUAAGGCGUCUAAAACAAAAUGAUAAAUAAGGCAAGAAGAGAGAGAACAUCUAGCUAUAUCAGAGCAAAGUGUAUUCUAUGAGCUACAAAAGGGAAAGGAGCAUAAAGUGAAAUUCGCUAUGUAAAAAUAUAAAGUAAUACAAUAAGAAUCCCAAGAACGAAAGCUAAACGAGGUACACAGGUGGUCUCUAUACAUGGUACAAAACUCCCUCUCUCACAAAAACCAAAAAGAAGAGAGUGACCACCUAGGAGCGACAGCAAGCUCCGCUAUCUAGCUAUGCGACUCCCUUGCCGCGAUCCCGUGCCUCCGCCGGUGCCGAAGGCUCUGAAAUAAAACUAUAAAACAGAGGGCGUGAGAACUAUUGAAUAAUAGUUCCCAGUGGGCAAUUACUGGCUUCAGUGAAGUGCACCACUAGGCUCAAACUAAAAAAGGGGUCAGUAAGCAGAUAUAAACAAGAGCGAUAUAUACGACAAGUAAAUAAGCAUGAAUAUUUGCUACCACAUGAUAUCUCUACUUAGCAUGAUUUAGCAUAAGUAAGAAAAGCUAGUGCGAACACUACUAGUGAAAUGCACCACUAGUCUCAUAGUUUGCUAGUCCAAGUGCCCCUUUAUGACAUUUUCAUUUACUAAGUCCAAGCUUAAACCAAAUGUUCAUAAAUGCAUAAUUGAGCCACUUUAAACAUAUGAGGCAUGUUUCCCAACGGCUAGUGCGAACACUACUCAAAUGCAUGUAAUAAUACCCAGAAUGCUCUACUAUAUAGAGUGAAAAUUAUCUUACAUAUAACACAUGCAUUUUAAGUGUUCUAAAAUUGACAUUAAUUCUAUUUAGCGUAGAUUUUCAUUUAAAAUGACGUUACGACGGGUAUAGAAAGCAUGGGGGCCAUUUCGCCUCGUUCUUAUGAAGCCAAACCCACCACAACUCUUGCGCUCCUUCGUUUGCUCCAACGAAGGUGUCCACUAGUCUCCUAGCACUCUAAAGAUGUAGGAACAAGGGUUAAACGAAUAUUACGAUCAACCCUAAGCUCAAUCAAUAAGCAACAUAGGCUAAGGUGGAGGUACUCACCUCAAGUGAAGAAAUCCUCUCUCAAGCUCCAAAUGGGAGUUAGAGUUCUUCAAAUCCAACCUAAAUAAAGGUUCUAAACCCAUCAAUUAGGUUUCAAAGCCCUCAAAAUCAAAAAUUUCCAAAAAUAAACCCUAAAUCCCAAAAUCUAGGAUUUCUACCAACAAAAGCACCAAAGUUAGAAUCUAGAGAAAGGAAAUUAGCCACAUACCUCUAGGAUGCUCCCAGCCAAGCUCAAAAUCCUCAAGGGUUGAAGAUUGAUCCUCCUCAAAGCUUCAACCACAAGCUCUAGCCCUCCAAAGGUGAGAAAUGAGGUUGAGGAAGAUGCUCCAAAGCCUCCAAGCUAGUUUUCCUUCUACUCCUUCUUCUUCUUCUCCUUCUUCUUCUCUUUCUAGAGAAUGUAGAGAGAGUGUGAGGGAGAGAAAUGAGGGAAAGAGAGAAGAGAAAGGCUCUAAAAGCCUUCUAAUGUAACAAAAUUCUGAUAAGCCCAUCAACAAUCCAAUUAGCACACUGCCCGGGUCUGGGCAGUUUUCGUCCAGAGGGACCGGUCUCUCCCUGCCUGGGACCGGUCUCUCGGUUCGUCCCACAAAACUAACGUUUGGGAACCGGUCUCUCCCCGCAUGGAACCGGUCUCUCCCCGCGAAAACAUACUCGGGGAUCAAUCUCACCCGCCAAGGACCGGUUGCCUCAAGUCCUGCCACAGCAGUGUUCCGGGGGGACCAGUUUUUCCCACCAGGGACCGGUCCCCGAGAGUAAAAACUCUCAGGACUUAGCCAAAACUCCAGAAAUCGAACUUUUAGGUCGGAAUACCAUCUAGACUUUCCACCAAGUGUGGAAAAGUUCAGAAUCCAUAUCAAACACUCGAACCUUGCAAUUUGCACAGGUUUAGUGUGUUACAGGUGACCCUACGCUCACCGCUACUGCCCUCCCCGUGGGCUGACGGCCGCCGCCCUCCUCCCUGCGACCGCCCAGCCCGAGCUCAUGCUGAGGCCGAGCUAUCUUCCAACCUGCGCGCUGCAGCCGCCCACGGUCGGCCGCACUGCCAUCUCUUGGCCUCCAGCGACCGGUCGCCGUCUCCCUGGAGCUUUCCCUGCCGCCACCGCCGCCUCCUUGAACCGAGGCCACUUGUGCGGUCCCGUGCCUUGCCUCCGCGCCACCGGCCGCCUCCCGCUGUCGAACAGCACAUGCCCCGGCAGCCGGCUUGCCCGCCGUCCGGCCGCCGCCGGCCGCCCCGUGCCCUAUUGUGCUCUGAUAUGGCUGAUUAUUACUUUCUGCACAUUGUUUCGAGUUUCGGUCACCUUUUCAGCGAUCCGAAGACACCCCGAUAACUGUGAAAGUGAGCAUGAUGAUCUCUGAUUCAUGCCAAACAUCGUGCUCACCUCCAUAUGUCUCAACGAAGCCCCAGUGUGCGUAUUAAACGCGGGUUAAACACUAUGCCCGCUGCUUCACUGAAUUUUGCGUCGUCUGUGCGCUCGCCGCAGUGGCCGACUGCUCUCCAAAGUGUGAGCACGGCCUCCGGCACAUCGAGACCUGACAGUGGAUGUCUCGGCCAGGUUAGAUAACCCUCGGUUUGCGCUGGCGGGCCGUAAAACCUCGAAAAUCACAUAAAAUAAUGUGAUUUUAUGUAACCGAGAGGGUUUUUAUGCAAUUGUUUAAUUUGUGGUUCCUGUUGGCAGUGUGUGCGGGCAGCGGGUAACCUCUGGACUGGUUGUCCAAGACCCCAAGCCCUUCCGAAAGUCAAAUGUUGAUUCCCGGUGCGUUUUUCGGUGAAAUCCGCCGAUGGAACGCGUUUUCGGUUAGGAAUUCUUCCGACGGUACCUCGUAAUAAUUUGUACCAUCGCUGAGCCUUGUUGGUUUGUCACUCGUGUCGUUUCGAGGGCUCGAAAACAACGGGUGAGUGACGGUGGGUUCCGGUGUCGAAUUGGACACUUUCGGGAACCCGGAUCGGAACAAUUAUUCGAUGAUAAUCAUUUCGAAGUGAGAUAAUGUUUUUGCUGCCGCCUCACACAAAAAUAUGUGUUUUGUAGCAGCAGGUGACUCGUAGCUCGAGUCGGUAUGUUCCGGGACAGUUCAUGGGUCCCGGCGGAGUCCCAGUGCAAUUUUUGGGACUUUCGACGUGUUCGGCAAUCGGUUUCGGGAAACCGAUUCCCGUAGGGUUAUUGGUUGGGUUUGUGAGUUAGUAAUUUGUGUUGUGGGUUGGACGCUAACCCGAUGGACCCUUCGUAGGUCCAGUUGUGAUUUCCUCCGCAGUUGGAAAGCCAGUACCACAUUUGUACAGGUGGGUACUUCGAUCCUAAGUCGGUACAGUGGUGCACACUCGGUGAUAUCUUCUUACCCUUGUUCUCCUAUUGUUACUCUACAUGCAUAUAUUAUAUGUUGAGUCUAGCACCUAUACCAUGUUUUCUUAUUGCUCUACUUAGCUGUUUUGCAUAUCCUGUAUCAUACUUAGAGUAGAGUGGUUUCGUGAUUAUUUGUGAUAUCUGUGACCUGGUUGGUUGGUUCUCGUAUCUCGUAUCUGUGACCUAGUUGGUCGGCUUAUUGUAUUAUUAUCGUGACCUACGUGGUCGGUUGGACUAUUUCACAACCUAUACGGUCGGUGUGCCCUGAGGGGCAGGAUUGUCGGUUAGUUGCCGACGGUUGGCUAUUGAGCAUUUAGCAUCGAUCGCCACUACUCGUACGCAUUUCACGAACACCAGCGGUCUGAUCCAUCGCAAGAGGGUGUUCUUUUCCGAAAAAAGUGGUUGGAUGUGCCAGCCCGUGAACCCAGCGGUCAGAACUGGGUUAUAUGUAGCCCGUGAGCCCAACGGUCAGAACUGGGUUAUACAGGUAGAGUGGCAGUGGCAUAGGCCUAAGGUGUUGCGGACCAAUAUUGCUGUUUCAAAUUUGGUAUUUUUGGACUUGUCGUCCGGUUGAUGCAUACAUACAAUAGCGGUAGUUGUUCAUUUAUACAUACUGUUCAUUUAUUAUCGUUGUUACUGUAUUACUCUUACCCAUACCUUUGUUUAGCCUCCUUGACUGGUGAGUACCUCUCGCCCUCGUCGGCUUACGGUAAUUACUGGGAGGGGAGACAUAUUUACAUGUUCUCACCCCCCACCCCGAUUACAGGUGACAUCGCGGGUCCUAAUGGGACGAUUCGCGAGGAGCGAGUCGAGCAAUCGAUAGUGCCACCGUCCCGUUGUUGGUUAAUUCUCUAACCUAGCUUCUUUAAAUAAAUGACUUAGACAGUUAUUUAGUUCAGUUGCUAUUACUUUGAAUUCAUCUGGUUUUAUGAAUAUAAUAAUGGAAUUGGAAUUUCUAUGGAAUGGAAAUGAUUUUCUACCCCUCGUGGUAGCGAGUUUUUUUUUAAAAAAGUUUCUGUGUGGGAAACAGUUUAAAAGGUUUUCUUAUGAUUUUCAUGACUUAGUAUUUUAAAAUGAGUUUCCAGGUAGGAAAUAUUUUAAACUAAUAGUUGUGGAUUUAUGAAUAACUCUGGUUAUAGAUGUGAUUGUGAAUGGUGUGUGAUUAUGUGUAUGUGCAUAUCUGUGGUUGUAUCAUGUUUGGCAAAUCUUGUAUCUUGUACUUGUACGACGCCGUGCAAAUACAAGGAAGACUCUGUCUGCGUGAACAGUAGACUCCCUAUAUUUGUAGCGGAUCUGGCAUACCCUGGGGGUCAGGUUUUCAAAAAAAAAAAAAAUUGGGCACUUCUGCUUUGUUUUUAUACCAAAAUGGGACCCCGGGGCGUGAUAAACAUAGGAUUGCGAUUUCGUGAAAAUGUCAGGGCGACUGACAUUGAGUUUUAACGCGAUGAGCUAGAUUAGCAAAGAGAGUCACAAGUACGUAUAGAUUUCAUAAAUUAAAUACAUGCACAUCCAUUCUAAAAUUUUACAUUCAUUUUUUUUAAUACACUUAUACAGGUUACAUGGAUGCCUUAUACGGAGGAUGUUUUGAACGGUCUUCCUGCAUUUUGUCUCGAGGGUUCUACAGUCUGGCGUUUGAGAACUUGUUUGAUAUGCUAUCAUAUUGUCGAGCUACAUGUACUUGAUCGAGUUCUGCGUCAGUUUGGAUUGCUACAGCAUAUACUGAACCCCGUAGAAGCUAUACAGAGGAUCACCUCGCAGAGUAGAUCAGGCGAGGACUGGGCAGCGUUUUAUGCUCCAUAUAUUCAGCGUUAAGCAGAUUGUUUGGAGCGUAUUGCGGAGUAGAGUCCUUUCGUCGAUGCACAUCCGAUACGAGCCACCUCUGUGUACAUGCAGUGGUAUUGGGGGAUCACAAGGAGAUAGAUUUUUCGUCCUGUACAGCGGCCUCCACUACUUUUCUGCUGUGAGGGAAUGUCGAGCGACGAUUGGCAAGAUUAUUUUAUUUUAUAGUUUAUUUUAAUAUAAGGAUAUUCAUUAUAUAUAAUCAUGUAUGGUUAUACAGGUGUAUGCUAUGCGGCAUACUGUUAGCAGUAUUGGUCAUUUGAUGGAUGAUCCUCAGGAGCCCACUAGAAUGAUGGAUGCUCUAUCACAUGUGAGGUGGGAUCUCGAGAGUGUGUUAGAGAGCCUUCUGACAUUACUCGUGACAGGGUAUCCGGAUGUUUUUUCUCCGACUUUUGGUGAUUACGGUGAUAUUCCCUCCACCUCGAUGCCUGCGUAUGAUUUUUCAUCGACAUCCGUCCCAAUUCAUCCAUCUGAUGUCCAUUCGACUUAUGAUGUCCCUUCGACAUUGAAAGUGCAGUUUGAUAUUCCGUCAACAUCCAUCCCUCCAUUUAAUAUUCCAUCUACGUCAGAGGUAUCUAUUUUGAUAUUCCAUUCAUGCCUAUCAAUCUUUGUGACGUUCCAUCCACGUCGCAAGUUUGUCGCGAUGAUGUUGUAUAUCGAUAUAGGCAACGAUGACAGAGUCAUAUUGAGACGCAGGACGAGAUACUACCAUCAGUUGUUGAGCAGGGGAUGGAGCCGAUUGUCGACGGCAUCGCCAUCGAGUAUAUUGAUCAGAUGCAUGUCAUUGAGCCCGUGCAGCCUGAGAUGGAGCAUGACAUAUAUAUUCGAGGACGGAGUUGAGGACGCGGUCGUGGACGUGGAUGUAGACGUGGCAGGGGACAAGGGCGAGAGCAUAGGAGGGGAAUGGAGGGGACUUGAUUUUUUUUUAUUAUUUUUGGGAUUAUUAUGUAUAUUUGAUAUUUCAUAUCUUUCUACAUUGAUUUUUUAUAGUAUUAUCUAAAUUUAUUCAUAUUGAAAUGUGUUGAUAUUGGUAUAGCUCAUUUUAUAUGCUUAAAAUGUGGUUGAAGUUGGUAUAGAUGAUUUUAUGUAUUUAUUGCUGUAAUUGAAAUACUUGAAAACAUUGCUAUUUUGUAUAAUGUGAAAAUUUUGCAAAGUUGUUGCUAUGUGGUUGUUGCAUUGCUUAAAUGCGGUGAACCAUUUACCGUAUAUAAAUGCGGUGAAUGGUUCACCGCUUUUAAAAGCGGUGAAUGGUUCACCGCAUAUAAGCGGUGACCAUUCACCGCAUUUAUGAGUUUUCUCGACACCCAACCGUUGGGAGGAACAACAUAAAGGCGGUGAAUGGUUCACCGCCUUUAUAGGAUUUUUAAAUCCUUAUGAAAGCGGUGAACCAUUUACCGCUUUCACUUGAAAGCGGCAAAUGGUUCACCGCUUUUAUCCUCUCCCGCCAGCUCACUGCCCACAUGGCAGUUUUGAACCUAUUUUUGUAAAUACAAAUUUCAGAGGCCUAUUUUUAAAAUAAAAGAGUUGGAGGAGACUAGUUGGGUAAAAAUCCCAACAUAGCAUCUGAGAAAAGGUGCUCUCUCACAUGCCUUAGCUCCUAUUAGAGGAUAAAUUCCUACAAUCGGUUCUAUUAGCAUGUGAAAAUUUCUGUUGCAUUUUUUGAACUACGAUUUGUCACGCCCCAACGCGAUGCGUAACAGACGCCGCAUAUGGCACGCCCCGGGACCCAGCUGAAGCCCGUCCGGUGCGUGUCUAGACCCGCCAUAUGCCAACCACAUAUAAGGCGUCUACAACAAGCGGUAUUUAAAGCAAUAAUGAACAAUAUUUAGAGAUAUCAGAGUAUGAUUUUAACUAAAUUCUAGAAAGAAGUGGAUAGAUAAAACUAAACAACUAGCAUAAACCAUAAGAGAUACAACAAGUGCUAAAUAUUCAAAAAUGGUAGCCUCUACACAUAGGUACAACACUCUCAUCCUCUCCAAAAUAAAACGAAAGAGAGCUAAGCCACCUAAAGCGAAAUCCUCGCUAUGUAGCCCGAAGCGACACCCUUGCCGCGGUCCCGAGCCUCUCCCGGCAUGGAAGGCUCUGAAAUAAAACAACAAAACAGAGGGCAUGAGAACAAUUAAUCAAUAGUUCCCAGUGGGCAAACCGCUGACCGCAGCGAAAUACUCCACUAGGCUAGAGAGGCGAAAGAACAAUAGUAUACAACAAGUAUUGAAAUGCAACGAUUAACUUGGCUAAGUUACUAUGCCUCGUGUUUAGCAUGAUAUUUAAGCAUGAAAAGUUACUAAUCUAUCAUGAUCGAGUAUAUCCAAGAAGUAUACUAUUAUGCUCUAAAUAUAACCAUCAUGAAUAUAAAUAUGCACCAAACAUGGUUCACUAAUAUACCACUAUGUCUAAUUAUUGUAAUAAUAUGCCCAACCAAUACCUACUAUCAAGUAGUAAAAGUCAUUUAGUUGUUUCGAGGUCAAUUUCCAUUUCCAAUAUAGGACCUACACAAGUGUAGUCCAGCUUGUGCCGCCUAAUGGCCCCGGGUAGUCCAGCAUUUCUCUAGGAAUGUGACUGUCCAACGGUGACCCAGUAGGCCCUCAAUCCCGCACGGGCGAGCAUAUGUCGCGUAGGCCAACUCCGGAGUGCCGGCUUGUAGGGAUCGACCCUUACAAGCAUGUGCGAAUAAGCACAAAUGGCAAGCAAACGAAAUCAUCAUCUCAAGUACUCGGUCAUCAUGUCUCUAACAUGGUAUAAUACUAGCAACCUCAAAGGUCUAGUUCUAUGUCACAAUGUAAUGAUUCAAUCAUUUACUAAUCUAAUGCCACUUUAUGACAUUAUAGUUUGCCAAGCCCAAACAUAUUCCAAGCUCAAUAUCCUUUUAUGACAUUGUAGCUUGCUAAGUCCAUACAUACUCCAAGUUCAAUACCACUUUAUGACAUAGGGUUUCUACUGUAUUUAGCAUAUGUCCAUUGUUCAUAAGCAAGUAAUUGCAUGUCAUUUAUCUACAUAUAGCAUAAUUCCAACAGACCAUGAGAAUACCAUAUACUAGCAUGAGUACUAUGCACCUAUUUCUCUACUACAUAGAGAUAAAAUCUCAUGAUACAUAACGUAUGCCUUUUAAGUACUCUAAAAUUCAUUUAUGCUCUAUCUAGCAUGAAUAUGCAUGAAUAUUUAUUUUACAAUAAGGAAUAAAGCAUGGGGGGGGUUCACCCAUUUCGGUAAGGUCAAACCCAUCAAGAGCUCCUUGUAACCUUUUUGUUUGCGUGAACGAAGGUGCCCACAAGUCUCCUAACUCCCUAAAGAAAAUUCUAAGAGGGUUAGACGAAACGAACGAACACCCAAAGUGUUCAUCUUUAACCAACCCAAGAAAAGAGUCGAAACUCACCUAAAUGUAGGAAAAACCCUCUCAAAUCCCAAAUGGAAGCUAGAGCCCUUCUAAUCCAACUUAAAUGAAGGUUCUAAACCAAUCAAUUGAACUCCAAAAGCCCCAAAUCAAAAAUUUCCAAAUAAACCCUAGUUUUUCCAUUUCUAGGGUUUCAUCUCAAAAUCCACAAAAAACUUGAUCUAAAGAGAAGAUCUAAGGUACUAACCUCUUCACAAGCUCCAAACCAAGCUUGAAUGGUGCUGAGGUCGAAGAUCCUUCUUCUAACAAGCUCCAAACACCAAUCCCAAGCUUCUCCAAUUGUGGAAAACCAACAUGAAGCAAAAAAAAGCAAAGAGAGGAAAUCAAAUCAAGCAAAAAGGGAAGAAAAACUAAGGAAAAAUACAGAGGAGCUCACCUCUCCCUCCUCUGGUCGAAGCACAAAAGCCCCUGUCUAAGGGGUGAGGGUGCAUAUAAGGUAUUGUGACAAUAACAAAAAGAACCCUAAAACUGCCAAACUGCAGUCUGCACUGCAUGCCGGUACAUGGAAAAGAGUACCGGUACCAAGCCACAGUGUGCGCAAAUUCGAGCCUCGGGUUGGCAAGAAAAUACACAGGGUACCGGUACCAACUUGAUGUAGUACCGGUACCAGCUCCAGUUCCGGUACCAAUUCAAUGCAGUACCGGUAGUCAGCCUUGCAGAGGCAAACUCGAGAGCAGCCCAAUUUCCUGCACUUUAGAGGUUUGGUGCUAAGUUUUCACCCUCGCUCCUCGGGAUGCGAGUCAUAGGUCGGAACACCAUCUACGACCCUCCAGAAUACUUGAAAAAACUCAGAACACGGAUCAAACACUCGAACCUUGCAAUUUGCUAAAGUUCAGUGUGUUAUAGCAUAUUUGCUAAACUAGUAAAUAUGUAAGGCUAUAGAAUCAGAUAGAAACUAGCAAAAAGAUGAUUAACAAUUUUUCACUAAAUUCAAAUAAUCAAAAAACGAGGCUAAGAAAUUGAAUUUCAAUUAGAAUCAAACUUAAUUCUAACAUCUUUAAACUAAAACUUACUACAAAACACAAGAGAAAUUCGGUUCGCAGAAUACCAUAAGUAACAAAAACGGAUAUGAAGAAAUAACGAAACAAAAAUAGAUAGCAAACGAUCAUCUACGUAGUCCAAAGAUUCACAUUCGAAAAUACUAGAUAUAGAAACAAAAGAGACUAAAAUCAAACACUAACUAUUUAACAUUCACUUGGUCUCAGCCCCGCCUGACAAAUUAGUCUUGGUAUCUGGGUAAGCAACCAUACACCACAUUAGUCGGAUGAAGCAUACAAUACAAAUAAAUAAAUGAAUACAAAGAAUUAAUUCAAGCGACUAGUUUUUAAUUUGCAAAAUUUCAUAAAACAAGAAUUAUCAAAACUUAAAAAGAAGAUCAUAUUGAAACUGUAAAUUUACAAAGCAUUUCUCUUUCAGCAAAUAAACGAAAUAAAUAUUAAGUCUCCGGCAACUAACUAUAUUGUGUGAUCUAUUGGCGAGAUCCAGAGGCACCCGAAGGCGCAAACAAAACAGAGGCGCGGAUAGGCGCAGGCACCCGAAGGCGCAAACAGAAAAGAGGCGCGGAUAAGCGCAGGCACCCAAAGGCGCAAUACAAAAACGAAGCUAGCUUGUAUAACAGAAUACAUGUCGACAUGGCCAACAUUUCAUAGCAGAAUACCAAGAGACAUCAUAAUUCAAAAUUUAUCCAGUCACUAAUUUACAGAACAAAUUAUUAAAUUUCAAAAAUUCUUUUUGCUAAAAAAUUUGUUAAUCACAAUUGAAGCUCAAUUUACAGAAAUAUUUAAUAAUAUGUUUAACCCUUAAUUUUAAAAUCUACAAAAUAAGACUUUCACACAAUCAAAAUAUUUUUCUAAAUUAUUUUACGAAAAACUAACGGGUAUCUGAUCGCUUACCUUAAAGUAGUUUCGUAGCUAAAAAAACUAACUGGUCGACAAUCGCACAAAAAAUCAAUAAUCGGAAUAGAGAAAUAAAAUUCUCUAUUAGCUACUGAAAAUAAAAUUACAAAGAGGACAUAUAUAUAGAAGACAAGCAAAUACAAAAAUUUAAAUUCGAAAAAGCUCAUAUAGGUUGACAAGAUUGAUUACAAUUGCAUACAAAUAGAUCAGGAUGGAGCACGAAAGAGAUUUAGAAUAAUGAACUCUAAGAAGCUAAAUUAACAAUCAAGAGAAUGAAGAGUUUCGAAGAUUAAACUAUUCAAUAAACACGAUAAUAUGAAUGAAGUUUUAAAUAAUAAAUGAAAGAUCUAAUGCUCGAAAAAGAGGGUUUUCAGAUGUUGAAACAUUAAUUGAUAAUUUACAACUAGAUAGGAUCGAAAUUAGAAACAAAAACAAAGUUUGCCCCCUCUAAGGCAUUUUGUCGAACAGGUAACAAGCAUUCCAAAAUAUGUAGAAUAUGUGAAGUUUACGUAACUAGAUCAUAUAGAAAAUACAAGACAUGAAAUUAAACGGUUCAAACGAUAAAAAUUAGAUACAAGCAAAUUAGAUUUUGAAGGUGUAGUAUUCCUUAUGUUUGGCUGCCAGUGAGAUUUCAGCAUCUGAGAUUUGUCGACACAUCUAGAGAGUGUCAGGACAAGUCGGAAUCGUUUUGGCGUGAAAUGGACGCAAAACGGACUCAACGCGAGGCGAGAGUGGAGUUCUGACUCUAAAAUUCGCAAAGUGCAGGAUUUCAGUAUUGAGUACCGGUACUAUUUAGGGGAGUACCGGUACCCCAGUGUAUGGUCAGAACUGAUGCUCUCGGGUUGUGCCAAUUUGAUGCUGAGUACCGGUACGGCAUCGGGCUGGUACCGGUACCCUGUGUGGGAGCUUACGGGCUGAGAGGCCGAGUACCGGUAACCAAAUCGGGUACCAGUACUCCAGCUGGUUUGUUGAGUUGGUAGGGGGUAGUAGUGUCUUUUUGGUUGGUGGUUAUCCACACCACCUACUCCCCCUUAUAUCUAUCCACCUGAGAGAGGAUAAUUAUUACAUUUCCUCUCUCUUUAGAUUUUGAUCUUAAGCUUGGUGGAGGUCGUGGCUUGAGCUCGGAAGUCGUCGCCAUUGCACUGGAGGGUCGUUCGUGCACGUGGGCAUCACGGUUGCAUCGUUGGGAGGCCGGGUGAGCGUGGUUUUCCUCCUGUCGACUUCUCGCCGUGGUUAGACGGGUUUUUCGAGGUGGGUUGAAGUAUACCGAAAGCGUCGGAAUUCCUUCUAAGUUUUAUCAACGUCAACAUGUGUUUCUUGGUUCAUUGGUUUAUCCCGCUAGUACUCGAAUUCAUGGAAAUUAUAGGUUAUGCUAUAAAAUCUGAAUAUGGAGUUAAGCUAGUUACUUUGUUUAUGCAUGUUGGACCUGGAAUUGACUUAGGAGAAAACUAUAGAUACUACACUGUCAUUUUCUGAAAAUUACCAGAUUUAGUUUUAGAAGCUGUGGUUUAUUUGUAUCGCCAUUGUUCGUACGCGGUAGAUACCCAGAUUAGUGUAGGGUGAGUUUACACUUGUGCUCAGAUGCCGAGCUGUGUAGACUGUUCAGGAUUGUUGGGUGCUGUCGCAGUUGACAGUGGACCCAGAUUUCUGUAUUUGCAUCAGAUUGUGCCGGGGGCACGUGAGCUUUGGUUGUUAGACCAGCUAAACCCUUUUUCUUUGAUUGUAGCCUGCAAGAGCCUGAUGAUCUCGACAGAGAUACGCUUGCAUACUCGGUUGGGUAGCGUCCACGAGUGCCACUCUGGAGUCAGGCUUUAUGCGUUCGCGUUGAUGUCGUAGUGUUCGAGUUGGACUUACUCUCCACCAACAACCUAGCGUGGUGAUGGUUGGUGUAGCUUUGACAUGCGGGACGGGUGCGUUUAUAGUCCCUAGUGAGAUUAGGUCAGAGAUUGCAUCUUGCUUAUAUCUACAGAUAGCUAGUGUUGGUUAGCGAUAGUAUAGUGGCAUAUAGCUGUAGAAUGUUACCAGCUUCCUAUACUAUCCUUGAGGAUAAUUUUUGUACACCUUAGUGGGGGAGCCGUUGAGAUCGAUAGUAGUAUCCACUAAGGACUACUCCUUUUUGUAGUAGUUCUCACACCCAGUUGUGGAACCAUUUUUACAGAGCCUUUAUCUGCGGCUGCUAUUGUAACAGAUUUUGAUCGUGAAAAGGGAGUCGCAAGUUAGAUCCCUUCCAGCUUUGCUGCAGUACUAGAGAAGUACCUUCCACAGGUAGUUUUGGGGCUUUUUGUACAUAUGGACUUGUUGUCUGGGUACUCGCUGGAGCGAGUGGUGUAGCAGACAUUUUGUAUGUACUGGAACCUCUCGAGAUUUUUAUAUAUGCUAUUUUCAGUUUAGCAACUCUUACCUUGUGGUUGUAGCUUGUUUUCGUUUACAAGGACAACUAUCGCUUCGUAUACAGGAAAAAUUUCUAUGUAUACGGCGGGUCUGUUGGCGUGCCCGAAAAAACGUGUAAUCCGGGGUGUGACAGAUUAAGUUGGUAUCAGAGCUUAGUAUUAGAUCGUUGGGACCUAGGAAACCUUAAAUUUGGCAAACUUUAGAAAGGCAAGACGUGAGGGCGUGAUUUAUCGCCAAAGUCAACGAUUGAAUGGUUUUAACUCCUUCUAGAGUGGAGUGAGUGACUAAAGGAGUGUCUGUUUCGGCCAAGAAAAUUAUGUCGGCUGCAGACGACAUAAUUUUAAGGAGAAACAGGGGCAGCCUUCUAGACUUUCACUUGAUUGGGUCGAGUGUUGAUUGGGUGCUUUGUAUCUGACUUUUGUUUUGGUUUCAGGUGACCAUGAGACCUUAUCGACGCCGAGGUCGACCGUUGACACGGGGUCCACGGGGACCACGCCGCCGGGGAUGCCAGAGCAGGUGGGACCGACUGCACCGGCAGAUUUGAGAGAGCAGGUGGCUGCCUUGACUGAGGUGAUCACGCAGCAGGGUGUGCUUUUGCAGAGGAUGUGUGAGACUGUCGUUCAGCGGUCGGGUGUUGAUUCAAGAGUAUCCGUGCAACAGGCACCCUGGGUGGAGCGAGAAGUUAUAGCAGCCCAGGAGCGAGCAACAGUACCGGGGCAGAGGCAGGAUAGGAAGCGCCCAAUUUUCGAUGAUGGAGGGCAAUCGAGCAGCAGGCUUCCGCCGAGGCCUUCAUGAUCACGCUUUCAAGGUCGUCAAGGCCUUCAGGAUCACGCUUUCAAGGUCGUGGGUCUUCAAGGCGUCAGCGUUCUGGAGGACCUCGUUAGUAGAGGCAGUUGCAGGGGACUCGACAGUGUGUGAUUUGUGGGGGACCGCACUGGCCCCGGUCUUGUGCAUAGAAGGAGGGCCGGUGUUAUAGAUGUGGACAGCCAGGGCAUCUACAGGCAGCUUGUCCUGAAGCGGCAUCGCCAGCACCUUUGAUAGCGCCGACCCCACCGAUACCACAGCAAACUUUUGGAGCAUCGUCGAGCUAUAGUCCAGCGAAUACAGUUGCAAUGCCGCCGCAGAGGGAGCAGCGACAGCAGUAUCAAGUGGCAGCGUAUCUGAGGCUCAUAUUGAGGAUGCCACGACUGCAGACCGCGUGGUGACAGGUAUUAUUUUAAUUUCUGAUAUUUGAGUUCGUGCAUUAUUUGAUACCUAUGCAUCACAUUCUCUUGUUAGUUGAACAUUUGCAUCUUUGCAUGGACUAGAGAUAGGGCCGUUGUUGCAUGCAUGAGAGGUGCAAAUUUUCGACCAUAUUUUGCAGGUAGUAGAGUGUUGUUCGUCAUGUCCAGUGCAGCUGGGCUCGUGGAUUAUAUCGCAGACCUAUUGAUCUUAGGGCAGCUGCAGGGCUUUGAUGUUGUGCUUGGCAUGGAUUGGCUGGCGCGGUAUUAUACGACCAUCGACUGUGGAGCGAGGACAGUGACGUUCCGCGAGUCAGACCAGGAGGAGUUCAUGUACAGGGGUUGUAGGAGUAGGUUGUUUGCCAUUUGGAUUUCGUCAAGGAGGGCUCGACAGCUGAUGAGUAGAGGAUACAUCACUUUCUUGGUGACUGUAGUAGAGGUGCCUACGGCGGCGCCGGGACUCGAGGAUAUCUCUAUAGUCUGCGAAUUUUCGGAUGUUUUUCCAUGGAGUUGACAACUAUGACGCCGGAUAGAGAGAUUGAGUUUGUGAUUGACGUAGUUCCUGGAACUGCGCCAAUCUUGAAGGCACCCUACCGAAUGGCACCGACAGAGCUGAGAGAGCUGAAGGCGCAGCUUCAGGAUUUGAUAGAUAAAGGGUAUGUGAGACCUAGUGUAUCGCUUUGGGGAGCGCCAGUGUUGUUCGUCAAGAAGAAUGAUGGUUCACUUAGGUUGUGUGUGGAUUACCGGGAGCUGAAUAAAGUGAUCAUCAAGAGCAAGUAUUCUUUGCCGCGCAUUGAUAUUCUGUUCGAUCAUCUGCAAGGAUCUUGUGUCUUUUUGAAGAUUGAUCUCUAGUCAGGUUACCACCAGUUGAGGGUGAAGGCCGAGAAUGUUCCCAAGACGGUUGUUCGAACUUGGUACGGGCAUUCUGAGUUCACUGGGAUGCCUUUUGGAUUGACAAAUGCUCUUGUCGCAUUUAUGGAUUUGAUGAACAGAGCGUUUAAGCCAUUAUUGGAUAGAUUUUGGUUGAGUUUGAUGCAACAUAGAAGGGUAAUUGCUUAUACUUCCUGACAAUUGAAGGAUUAUGAGAAGAAUUACCCUACGCAUGACUUGGAGCUUGCUGCAGUAAUUUUUGCCUUGAAGUUAUGGCGUCAUUACUUGUAUGGCGAGCAUUGCGAGAUUUUUACUGAUCACAAAAGUCUUAAGUAUCUGUUCACCCAAAAGGAGUUGAACUUGAGGCAGCGUCCGUGGUUGGAGUUAUUGAAGGAUUAUGAUGUUAGUAUUCAGUAUCACCUCGGCAAGGCGAAUGUGGUGGCAGAUGCAUUGAGCAGGAAGUCAGUCCAAAGCUUGAGCAUGAUGAUUACUCAGCAGAGGCCGUUAUUUGAGGAGUUGCAGCGGUUGAGGCUAGAGGUAGUGUCCCCUGGGUCUACUGCGAGACUGAUGUUUAUGGUCUUGCAGCUCACUCUGUUGGACAGGAUCAGGGAGAAACAGAGUGGAGACUCUCACUUGUUGAGGAUUUGAGAGUAGUUUGAGAGCGGACAUGCGGAGGCCUUUUCUGUGGACAGUUCGAGAGUACUGCGGUACAGGGACCGAUUGUGUGUGCCUAUGGAUUCUGAGAUCUAUGAGAAAAUUUUGAGAGAGACUCAUUACUCACUUUAUACGGUUCACCUUGAUGGAACCAAUAUGUAUAAAGACUUGAAGGCACACUUUUGGUGGAAUGAAAUGAAGCGGGACAUUAGUAGACAUGUGGCUAAGUGUCUGUGUAAGGAAGUGAAUUCUCGAAAUUCGAGAGUUGGACUUCGUCCAGAAUCAACUAAUUGUCGAGUGGGUAGGCUUCGGAAAAGCCCAAGGUGUCCAAAAUACAAAAAGUGCAUUGGAGUUGGAUCCGCGAGAGUAAACAAUGCAAAAUCUGCACUUGGCAGAUUCUGCUCUCAGGGACCGGUCCCUAGAGGGAGAGACCGGUCCCCGUAAGCUGAAAGCGUGGCAGAAGACUCUGCGCGCGAUAUUUGCUCUCGGGGUCCGGUCCCUCGGGUGAGGAUCGGUCCCUGAAGGUCCGGUCUCUCAGUCGAGGAUCGGUCCCCGUGCGCGCAACCUGCGAAAAGGAGAAAAAUUUGGCUAAGUCCUGAGAUUUCAGCUCUCGAGGACCAGUCCCUGGCGGGACAGACCGGUCCCCGUACGCGUAAUGGCUGGCAUACAGCCUCCGCUCGCAAAAGCUGCUCUCGGGGACCGGUCCUUCUAGGGACAGAUCGGUCCCGAGCGCGAAAACUGCCCAGGCAGAGCAGUUUGAGAGAGGCAAAGUGGAAGGGUUUGGAUGCAAUUGUUACAUUAGUUCAGGGGUAUAGGAAGGAUUACACUCUCUCUCCCUCAUUUCCCCACCCAACACACACACUCCUCUCUCUCUCUAAGCUCUCUCUUCUCUCUUGAAGCAAAGAAGAAGGAAAAGAAGGAGAGGAAGAAAAAGAAGGAGAAGAAAGUGAAGAAGAAGGUGAAGCAAGUAAGCUCUCUCUCCUCUCUAAGCUCUCUCUCCCUCACUAUAUGACGCAUGCAUACAUUACUGAUGAUUGGGCAUAGUAGCAUAGUUUUCCUACUAUUGCAUUUAUAGUUUUUCAUAACUAUCUAUCUAUCUACUUUUGCCCACUCGGACCUAGUGGAAAAAUUGGCGAAGUCAGCGGCCGAACCCACUGGAAACUAUGGACGAUAGUUCUCACCCCACUUUGUUACAGGGCCUAGUACGAGCACGCUGGGUGAGGACCGCGUCAAGGACAUAUCGCCCGAGUAGUAGUACAUAGUAGCUUCCUAUUUUGCAUUAGCACACCUAUGUACAUGAGAGACUUUUGUAGGUGAGGAUUUGGAGAGCUAUUGAUGUAUAUAUUUGAUGGUCCUUAGAGAACCACAUAUCCAUUUUGAGAAGAUGAAAGUGUAAUUGAAUGCAAAUGAUGUAAUAGUUAGUAAAACUCUCUUUAUUUCACUUGUGUAUGCUUGUGAAUUUUUGCUCUUAGUAUGUUGGCACUGUUUGUGCCCUUGUGGUCGUGUAUGUAUGAAUUUCUAUUUUCUGGGCAAAUUCUUAUACAUGAUCGGGUUGUUGGCCUAGGACGGACAGGGGAGGUGCUGUCCGUUCGGCGUCUGUUCGACGCACUCGAGUCGUGCCAAAUUGAUAGCGGUCUCGGGGCGUGACAGAUAUAAAUGGUAUCAGAGCAAGCUAAGAGUAAGUAAAGAGAGAGUCUAGGAUUGACCUAGGAGACCUUAGGAAGGUAAACCCUAAGGAUAUAGGUGCGUGAGUGGAACGUGAACCUAUAAUGGUGGCGGAAGUGAUUCGAUUGGGUCGAAGUUGGCGAUAUGUCUCUAGUAGUUGCUAGAGAUGAAUUCAAGUGGUAUUAGUUCUUGACUUGAGGUGAUUGUGUCGGCGGCCGACGACAUGAUGCCGAGAGCCUAGAAUGAGUACACUCGUAUGCUUUCGCCCGAUUUCGUUGUUGAUCGUUUGAGUCGUAGUCGCCGUAAUGUUGACGGGUUAAGAUAAUUAACCAAGUGCUUGCGUUUCAGGAGCUAAUGGCCCCGAAGAGACGCUACACGCGUAGAUCGGCUCCGGCACCGCCUCCCGAGAUGCCUGGGCAAGUUGAACCUCCACGAGCCCCAGAGUCUCCUGUGGUGCUUGCACAAGCCGGGCCGAGUGAGAUGCAGGAGUUGCGGGCGCAAGUGACCGCACUUGCGGGUCAAUUUGGGCUGCUCCGAGAGUUGAUAGAGCGGUAGUUAGCAGCGACGACUGCGAUGGCGACAGACGGUCGUGUUCCACCCGCACCCUCGGCGCAUGAGCACGUAGCGGCUGAGGGUGAGGGUAUAGUGGCGAUUCCGGUGGCGGCGCAUCCCUCGUCGAUGGUCGUUCCUCCUGCGGCGUCAGGAUAAGCGACACCCGAUGCGGCGGCCGAGGAAGCGGAGAAGGAGCGCGCAUUGGCGGCUCUAAUCAAGUUUAACAAGUUUCAUCCGCCCAUCUUCGAGGUGGAGAAAGUGGAGCCGGCGAUGGUCGAGUCGUUGGUCGACUCGAUGAAGAUGCUCUUCGAGGACCUCUCCACCUUUGAGAGGGACAAGGUGUACCUCGCCACACAUUGUUUGGAGAAGACGGCGAAGGUGUGGUGGAAGAGAGUGAAGCGAGAUAGGCCUUCGGAACUUCCACCGAUUGUAAGGGAAGUGAAUUCUUGAAAUCCGAGGAUUUGACUUCGUUUAGAAUCGACUGAUUGUCGAGUACGUAGGCUUCGGAAAGUCCGAAGAUGAUUAAAAUGCAUAAAGUACAUUAAGGAAGAGUCCGCGAGAGCAGCAGUGCAAAUUCUGCACUGGAACAGAAUUGCUCUCGGGGACCGGUCCCUGGCAGGGAGGGACCGGUCCCUGGCAGGGAGGGACCGGUCCCCUCGGCUGGGCUGGCGGGGAUCCUUAAGGCAACCGGUCUCUGGUAGGGAGGGACCGGUCCCUCCUUGCCAGAGACCGGUCCCCGAACGUUAACCCAGCGAGAAGAGGCUGAAAUUUGGCUAAGUCCCGAAAAUACCACUCUCGAAAACCGGUCUCUCAGGCAAGGACCGGUCUCCCGGGGACCGGUCUCUCAAGCAGGGACCGGUUCCCGAACGCGAAAUUUUCUCUGCCCGAGAGGGAGGCUCUUGGGGACCGGUCUCCCCGACCUGGGACCGGUCCCUCACUGCGAAGAUGCUUAGUGAGGGCUGCUUCAGAGGAUGAAAAGUUGAGGGGGCUAUCUGCAAAAUAGCCUUUAUGAGGGCUGGGGACCCCUCUCUCUCUCCCAUUUGUCUCAUUUGCCCUCUCUUUCUCUCCCUCUCUCUCUCUAGAAUGAAAGGAAAAGAAGAAGAGAAGAAGGAGAAGAAGAGAAAGAAGAAGAGGAGAAAGAAGAAGGAGAAGACCAAGAAGAGGAAGAAGAUCAUCUUCUUCCUUCUCUCCCUCAAGCUAGGGCAAGCUUGGAUCUUGGUAUUGAGGUAAGCCUCAACCCUUCAAUGGUGGAUUUUGGGAGCUAGGGUUUUGUUGCUUAAAAAUGGUUCGAAUGGAACCUAUUGAAGCUAAGGAGAUGGUUCGAGCUCGAAUUUGAGGCUUGCACCAUGGAUUUCCCCAUUGUUGCUAACCCAGGGCACGGAUUUGGGAUUUUUGGAAAUCUAGGGUUUUGAUCUCGUUUAACGGGUCGCAAACCUAAUUACUAGGUCUAUAAACGCGUCGGCGAAGACGGUUCGUCGAUCCGACGAGCGAGUGCGAAGAUAUCGCCGAAACAAGUGCUUGAGGGUUCGUUUUGUCCGAGGAGUCGAGGCAACGACAUAAGAUCGCGACGACGAGCUUGCUAGUUACGCGGCGCUACUAAAGGUGGGGGAGUGCCAUCCCGAAGUAGUUGAAUUGCUCCCUAUGUCUGAGUUAUUAUGUUGAUCAAUUGCAUAUUGAACAUAUGGCAUAUAAGGAACUAAGUUAUUAAUAUCUAUUUUUGCAUGCUAGUGUUAAUGUGGCUCAGUUGAUAUAGCACUAGAACCUAGUGUGCUCGAGGUAGUAUGAUACAGUUUAACCCUAUAGGUGUUGGAUGUACAUGUAGCAAUGAAAACCUAGUACAAUGUAGACUAGGGUAUUGAGAACUUGUCAAGAGAACGAGUGGCACCUAGUUAACAAUGAACACAAACGAGUGGCAUGUAGUUAACAUUGAACAUGAGAACCCUAGUGUAGUCAAAAUACUAUGAGCUUGGGUAUUAGGAUACUUGAUUCUGUGAUGAGACCAACCUUAGUUGGUAGGACUAGUUCGUGAGUUCAGAUUAAGCUCACAUAGCCUGUCUGCGCUUGUAGGGGUCGCUCCCCACAGGUUGUGCACUCCGGAGUAUUUGUCACUCGAGGGGCAGUCGCCAUGCGCUGCCCGGACAGUCAGUGAAUCUGUCUGCAGGCUGUCUCAGGGAAUAGUUCAGCGAGGCUUUUCCCUACGAGGCUUAUAAACGUGAGAUUGAAAAUGAGAUACCGGAUUGAUCGAAUGAUCGGGUAAAGUAAUGAACAACCCUUAUUGUUGGGCAUAGUAGUAUGGUAGCUAUGAAUUUCACUAUGAAUGACAUGCAUGCAUAAUUCUAGAUUGAGGCAUAGUUAGAUGCUUAUACUUAUACUUGCUCAUUUCUCGUUAAUGCUUUCAAUUACAUAUAUCUAUCUACCUGCAUAUCUAUCUGUGCCUGCUUAGACCUAGUGGGAAGAUCGGCAGAGUCGGCGGCCGAACCCACUGGGAACUAUUCGUAGUUCUCAUCCCACUUUGUUGCAGGUCCGAGUUCGAGUAGCCCUGGUGAGGAUCGCGGCAAGGGCGUAGCGCCCUAGGGGUAUUAGUAGAGGUUUACUUUCCUUUAUGCAUUAGUUACACCCUAUACUUAUGUUGACAGUAGAUGUUGUAUAGGGUGAGAUUUUGAGAGUGAUUGUACAUAUCUGUUUUGGAAGACUGUAAAAGAUGAAUUAAAUGUAUUAAGUUGAAUGAAUUUAAUAGUUAAGUAUAUCUCUCUUUUAUCACUUGUAUGCUUUACUCGUGUUGCUUGCUCUCGGUUGGUAUGCACUGUUUGUGCUUCAUUACUGUUAUUUGAUCAUGUAUGUAAUCAAGUGUAUUUUCUGGGAGCUUGUGUACAUGAUCUCGUCGUUUGAGCCUUGGGCGGACAGGGGAGUUACUGUUCGUUCGGCGGUCCAUUCGCCGCGCCCGAACCGGACCAAAUUGGUAGCGGGCUUGGGGCGGUGGCGUGACACCGAUACUGUAGGAAGAGUUCAAGAGGGCGAUGUUCGCCAACUACUUCCCCGAUACUCAGAAGCGGAAGCUGCAAGAGAAGUUCCGCAAGUUACGAUAGGUGGACCGCACUGUGGCGAACUAUGAGUAAGAGUUUUCCCACAUAAUUGACUGUGUCCCUGAUAUGGUGAAGGAUGACAGGGAUAGAGCCGACUAGUUCUUAAGGGGACUUCGGCCGGGAAUCCACAAGGCCGUACAGAUAUUCAAGCUCGCGACCUUUGCGGAGGUAUUCGAUCGGGCGCUGUGGGCAGAGCACGGAGAUGCCCAUGUGCGCGAGGAGCGUGAGCUUUUGGCCGAGUCCAAGGAUAAAGGCAAAAAACGACAAGGUGGUGGUUCGGGGGGACAGACGAGUUCCAAGAAGCCCCCGAAGUAUCCGCGGACUCAGUACAUGGGCCGUGGAGUGCGGCGGUGUGUCAUUUGCGGUGGAGACCACCAACCUUCGUGUUGCGAUCAGCGCCAAGGCAAGUGCUUCAAAUGCGGGCAACCAGGGCACUUCAUACGUGAUUGCUCGGGAGGUGGAGCCUCGCCUGCCCUAUCUAUUGCAUCGGGGCCGGUGAUUCCAGCUCAUUAUGGAGGAGCUCCACCGACGGCUGCGUCGGCGGGACGCGUGAUGGCGCCGCGUCAGUUAGAGGCGACGCGAUCGACACCGAGCGGGCGGGUGUUCGCCGCUCAAGCUCAAGUGGAGGAACCUGCCGAGCCAGAAGAGCGCCAUGUGGUGGCAGGUAUGGUUUUAAUUAGCGGAGUCCGCUCCCGAGCUAUGUUUGAUACUGGUGCUACCCAUUCAUUCAUAAGUAGGCCGUUUGCACAAAUGCAUGGUAUCGAGUUUCAAUUUAGUAAGAGCACUUGACGUGUGUUUGGGCCUGGGCGGGACUUUCUGAUCCGCAAGAAGUGUUUGACGUGCCCAGUACAAAUAGGCGAUUGGAUAAUGCUGAUUUGCAUGUUGGUGCUCCAGAAGCUGAAAGAGUACAAUGUCAUAUUGGGCAUGGAUUGGCUCUCGAAGUACCAUGUAACGAUUGACUGUAAGAGCAAGGUGCUUACCUUUCAUGAGCCCGGACAAGAGGAGUUCACGUAUCGGGCUUGUCGAAGCUCGUGCUUCGUCGUGACGGUGUCAGCGACGAGAGCGAGGAAGUUGGUUAAUAGCGGUUGCACAGCCUAUUUAGCGACCGUUGUGGAGGUGGACCGAGUGGCUCCGACCUUAGAGGAGUUGUCGGUAGUACGGGAGUUCCCAGAUAUAUUUCCCGCGGAGUUGCCGGGGAUACAGCCGGAUCGGAAGAUCGAGUUUGUUAUAGACUUGAUUCCCGAUACCGCGCCGAUCUCGAAGGCCCCGUAUAGAAUGGCGCCGGCGGAACUAAGGGAGUUGAGGAAUCAAUUGCAUGACCUCCUCGACAAGCAAUUUAUCCGGCCGAGCGUAUCACCGUGAGGAGCCCCCGUGUUGUUUGUGCGGAAGAAGGACGGAUCGCUGCGACUCUGUGUGGAUUAUUGUGAAUUAAACAGAGUCACGAUCAAGAAUAAGUAUCCAGUUUCCCGAAUCGACAACUUAUUUGAUCAGUUGCAGGGGUCGUGCGUGUAUUCAAAGAUAGACUUGUAAUCCGGUUAUCACCAGUUGAAGAUCAAGUCGGAAGACAUUAAGAAAACCACAUUCCGUACGCGGUAUGGACACUAUGAAUUCACGGUCAUGCCUUUUGGGCUUACGAAUGCCCCUGCGGCGUUCAUGGAUCUGAUGAACCGUGUCUUCAAGGAGUUUUUGGACCGAUUUGUCGUGGUCUUCAUAGACGGCAUAUUGGUCUAUUCUCGCAAUGACGAGGAGCAUGCCGAGCAUUUGAGAUUAGUGCUUCAAGUCCUUUGGGAGAAGAAGCUAUAUGCUAAGCUAAAGAAGUGUGACUUUUGGCUUCGAGAAGUCGCAUUUCUAGGACAUGUGAUUUCCGAGGGUGGAGUCUCUGUAGACCCGAGGCAAUCAAGGAUUGGCCACGCCUAACCAAUGUCACGGAGGUUCGAAGCUUCGUGGGCUUGGCGGGCUAUUAUAGACGGUUUGUGGAGUGCUUUUCGAAGAUAGUAAUUCCACUUACCCGUCUGACUAGAAAGGGCACCAAGUUCGUUUGGAGUUACGAGUGUGACCGGAGUUUCAAAGAGUUGAAGGAGAGAUUAAUUUCGACUCCGGUACUCGCCCUACCGGUGCAAGGUAAAGAUUAUGUGGUCUAUAGCGACGCAUCCUAUCUGGGUUUGGAGUGUGUCUUGAUAUAGGGCGGGAAGGUAAUCACGUAUGCGUCCCGUCAGCUAAAGAGCUAUGAAAAGAACUACCCCAUUUAUGACUUAGAGCUGGCGGCGGUGAUCUUUGCUUUAAAGCUAUGGAGGCACUAUUUAUAUGGUGCACAUUGCGAGAUCUACACCGACCAUAAAAACUUAAAAUAUUUGUUUACCCAGAAGGAGCUGAAUAUGCGGCAUCGGCGGUGGUUGGAACUGCUAAAGGAUUAUGAUGUUGACAUCUUUUACCACCCCGGCAAGGCGAACGUAGUCGCUGAUGCGCUUAGUAGAAAGUCGACAGAGAACCUCGCAGUGUGGGUUACAAAUCAAACGCCCGGAAAGAAAUAGGGCGAAUGGAUCUCGAGGUUGUAGCUCCGGAGGUUCCGACUAAGUUGUCAAUGCUUGUUGUCCAACUGACCUUAUUGGAGAGGAUCAAGAGUUUGCAACCUGCGGACCCGAGUCUCCAAAAGGUGCGGUGCAACGUCAAGGAGGGACGUGGCGGAGAUUUCAGUAUAGACGCCGGUGGUGCACUUCCGUUUCGAAACAGGUGGUGUGUACCUGAGAACGAGGAGCUUCGCAAGCUAAUUCUGCAAGAAGCACAUUAGUCUCCUUAUAGUCUUCACCCGGGUGGCACCAAGAUGUACCAUAACCUAAAGAUGUAGUAUUAGUUGCCGGGAAUGAAGGCUGAUAUUGGGCGCUUUGUGGCGAAGUGCUUAAUAUGCCAGCAAGUGAAAGCGGAACACUGAUUUCCAGCGGAAAAGCUUUAAAGUUUAUAUAUCCCCGUUUGAAAAUGGGAAGAUGUGUCGAUGGACUUCGUGGUCGGUUUGCCUCGCUCAACGGGGGGCCACGAUGCAAUUUAGGUGGUUGUGGAUUAAUUGACGAAGUCGGCACAUUUCCUACCGAUUCACACCACUUGGGCAGGUGACAAGCUGGCGCAGGUAUACCUUGAUGAGAUUGUGAGAUUGCACGGGGUACCGAAGUCAAUUGUGUCGGUUCGAGACCCCGGUUCACUUCGCAUUUCUGGAAGAGCCUGCAAGAAGCACUUGGCACACGGCUGGAUUUUAGUACCGCAUUUCAUCCUCAGACAGAUGGGCAAAUCGAGAGGACUAUUAGACUCUGGAGGAUAUGUUGCAGGCGUGUGUCAUUGAUUACAAGGAAAGUUGGUGUAAGCACCUACCGAUGGCCGAGUUCGCCUACAACAACAAUUAUCAUGCUAGCGUGGGGAUGACACCAUCUGAGGCUCUUUAUGGGCUGAAGUGCCGAUCUCCCAUUCACUGGAGCGAUGUGGGCGAACGAGCAGAAUUCAGCCCUAACGUUUUGCAGGAGGCGGAAGAGAAGGUCUGUCUUGCUCACAAAAGAUUACUCAUGGCGCAGUCUCGACAGAAGAGCUAUUCGGAUAAGCGCCGGCGGGACUUAGAAUUUACAGUGGGCGACCAAGUCUUUUUGAAGGUGUAGCCCAUGCGAGGUGUGAAGCGGUUCGGGGUGCGGGGGAAGUUGAGUCCCUGAUACAUUGGACCCUACAAGGUAUUGGAACGGAUUGGAACGGUGGCUUACCGGCUCGCGUUGCCGCCGAAGCUUGCGGAUGUGCAUAACAUAUUCCAUGUCUCCAAUCUUCGUAAGUAUAUUCACGACCCCGAUCAUGCCUUGUUGUACGAGCCGCCGGAACUUCAGGAAGAUAUGAGUUACAAGGAGUUUUCGAUGAUGAUCUUAGCUCGAGAGGUGCGAAAACUGAGAAAUUGCGAGAUUCCUUAUGUAAAGAUUCGGUGGAGCAAUCAUGAUGAUCGCGAGGCCACCUGGGAACUCGAGGAUCUGAUGAGAAAGCAUCAUCCUCACUUGUUUGAGGGAUAAGGUAUGAGUUUGAGUUUGAGUUGGAAAUUGGAUUAGUUUUGAGAACGAAACUCCUUUUUAGGAGGGGAGGAUGUAAGGAAGUGAAUUCUCGAAAUCCGAGAGUUGGACUUCGUCCAGAAUCGACUAAUUGUCGAGUGGGUAGGCUUCGGAAAAGCCGAAGGUGUCCAAAACACAAAAAGUGCAUUGGAGUUGGAUCCGCGAGAGUAAACAGUGCAAAAUCUACACUUGGCAGAUUCUACUCUCGGGGACCGGUCCCUAGAGGAAGAGACCGGUCCCUGUAAGCUGAAAGUAUGGCAGAAGACUCUGUGCGCGAUAUUUGCUCUCAGGGUCCGGUCCCUCGGGCGAGGACCGGUCCCUGAAGGUCCGGUCUCUCAGUCGAUGACCGAUCCCCGUACGCGCAACCUGCGAAAAGCAGGAAAAUUUGGCUAAAUCUGAGAGUCAGCUCUCGGGGACCGGUCCCUGGCGGGACAGACCAGUCCCCGUACGCGUAAUGGCUGGCAGACAGCCUCCGCUCGCAAAAGCUGCUCUCGGGGACCAGUCCCUCUAGUGACAGGCCGGUCCCCGAGUGCGAAAACUGCCCAGGUAGAGCAGUUUGAGAGAGGCAAAGUGGAGGGGUUUGAGUGCAAUUGUUACAUUAGUUGAGGGGUAUAGGAGGGAUUACACUCUCUCUCCCCCUCAUUUCCCCACCCAACACACACACUCCUUUCUCUCUCUAAGCUCUCUCUUUUCUCUUGAAGCAAAGAAGAAGAAGAAGAAGGAGAGGAAGAAAGGAAAGGAGAAGAAGGUGAAGAAGAAGGUGAAGCAAGCAAGGAGAAGGCCUUGGUCAUCUUCCUCUUUCUCCUCACACCAUUGGAGCUAGCUUAAAGGUAAGCUUUUGAGCUCAAUAAUGGUAGAAACCUAAGGUUUGGAUUUAAAGCUCUAGAAAUGGUUUGAUUAGUAUUCUAGCAUGCUUAAUAGAUACUCAAAGCUAGAAUCUAGGGAUUUAUUGGAGCUUUUGCAUAGAUGCAACCUAGGGCACCCAAAAUAGGGUUUUGCUGAAUAGAUGGGUUUGAUCUUAUUUGAUGACAACUAAACCUAAUUGCUAGGUGUCUAAACGCAUUGGCGAAGACGGAUUGAGCAUUCGUCAAGUCGUUAUAAAGAUGUCAGCAAAACAAGGCCGAGCAAGCUUCGUUUCCUUCUUGGAGGCGGAGAUUUCGUUGUAACGAGUGCCGAGUAGCAUUUUUAGGACCUCCACAUCGUCGAACGGUGGGUGGUGUCAUCUCGAAGCAACCGGGUUCCUCUCUAUGUCUUAGUACUUCAUGAUUUGCAUCUCUUGCAUGUUGCAUUAUAGGAUUGCAUGUUAUUCCUUUCCUUAUGCUUGCUAAUGAUAUCGAUGUAUGAGUUGAAUGCAUGAUGAUGGUUAGAUGAGGAUUGGGUUUUGACAUUUAAUUCUAUAGUGCCGAGAAAAGAGAUGAACUCGAUGAUUGUUAAAGACAUAAUGAGUGGCAUUGACUGUUAAAUAAAUAAGAACGAGUGGCAUAUAAUAUAGUGUACGGUGACACUAGUGACAUGCGAACUUAGGGAUAGGUGGAUUCCCUAGUGACGACUCGUUGAACAAAGGUCUAUAAGAUAUGGAUCCUGAGGAUCUAAAAGGUAAGUAACACCUAGAGGGGGGUGAAUAGGUGUAAAUACGGCAAACUCGAAAAUCUCGAUGCAAAUAAAAUAAAGUAGCGGAAAAUAAAACAGCACACCGAGAAUUUAACGUGGGAAAACUCCAAUUCGGAGUGAAAAACCCACGGGACCGAUCACGCGAAGAAAAUCCACUAAGAAAACUUGAGUACAAGUGAUUUUGACAAAAAUACACGACUCAAUUUACCGAUUUCUUGUUAAUGGUGAUCUUCGCCGGUCCUCGAUCGAUAGGAAUCCACCAAUCGACCUUGCUGUAACUCCUCGCAGCGUCAACGCCUCAACUCCUUGAAGUGUCCACCGAAUCCUCGGCUUCACGCGAGAUCCACGCGUCGAACCUCCUUCCGGAGCUUGUAGAAUCGAAGAUUUGUGAUGAUUUAACCUUUGAAUACCAUAAGCUAUGAGGGUUCACCUUUAAUCAAAAAUCUACUUGAUUCUCGUAUGAGUUCUCGAGUAAAAACGAAGAAUCAAGCCGAUUGUUGAUUGUUAGAAACUCGUUAUGUGAAUCGACGCAUUGAAACGAAAAAACAAGUUUCUAGGGUUUAGAAUCAGUAAAUAUUCAAAGCCUUAAACUUUUAGAUGACCCACAUAGCUUAUUUAUAUGUUUAGAAGACUUAGAAGUAGACUAGGAUUGCAAAAAGUCCUUUUUAAAAACCUGUGUCGUCCUCAGAGACCGGUCUUCUCGAGGAGACCGGUCUGUGAGAGACCGGUCUCUCAAGUGAGGAACCGGUCCCUCACUGCGUGACCAAAAUCACAACGUUCGGGAACCGGUCUCUCAAGCUUGAGACCGGUCCCUCGCUGUGCGACAGAAAUACCAAGGUUCGGGAACCGGUCUCUCAUCUCAGGGGACCGGUUGCAUCAAUGUUCAUGCAGUGAGAACCUUAGGGGAACCGGUCUCUUGACCUCAGGGACCGGUCCCUGAACACAGAAAAGUUCAGUAAAGUAUUUUUAAAGCAAUCUAAGCCUUCUGAACUUUUUCUAAACAAAUAUCUUCAUCACAAAUGAUCUUUUCUUCAUACCUUAGGUGCCGAACUUUACGAGUGAGUCUUUUUCCUUCAAUUUAGAUCUUUUCUUCAAUCUUCCGCAAUCAACUCUUCAAGACUCCAUUCAGCAUUACGAAAUCCGCCAACCUAUAAAAUCCUUAACAAGGUCAUAGUGUAGUCAAGUACUCACACAUGGACAUUGGGAUAGGUGGAUUCCCAAGUGACUUGUAACCCUAGAGUCGAUGGGGUAUCCUCGAGUUGAGAGGAUUGAUCAUACUCACAGUCUGUUCAUACUUGUGGUGGUCGCACCACCUAGGUCUUCGUGCACUCCGGAGUUUAGUGCGAGAGGGGUAGAGUUGAUGCCCUACAGGCGGCCUCGGGUUUGAGAGCAAGGUGUGUCUCCUUACCAUACGAGGUUUGAGGUGAGUCGUAGGCGAACCCAAGUGGAUCGCCAAGGAUUGAUUGAACAUAUUGUUAUUUGAACAUUUGCUUGUUGGACAUGGAUAGUGGACAUAGUAGCAUGUUAGUAAACCCUUUACUAUAUGACGCAGGCAUAUAUUACUGAUGAUUGGGCAUAAUAGCAUAGUUUUCCUACUAUUGCAUUUACAGUUUUUCAUAACUAUCUAUCUAUCUACUUUUGUCCACUCGGACCUAGUGAAAAAAUCGGCGGAGUCGGCGGCCGAACCCACUGGAAACUAUGGACAAUAGUUCUCACCCCACUUUGUUGCAGGGCCUAGUACGAGCACGCCGGGCGAGGACCGCGGCAAGGGCAUAGCGCCCGAGCAGUAGUACAUAGUAGCUUCCUAUUUUGCAUUAGCACACUUAUGGAUAUGAGAGACUUUUGUAGGUGAGGAUUUGGAGAGCUAUAGAUGUCACGCCCCGAGACCGAUACCAAUUUGGGCCGGCCCGAGCACGUCAAAAAGAUGCCGAACGGAUAGAGUUUUCCCUAUCCGCCCAAGGCUCAUCACCUGUACAAUUUCAACCAAGAAGUGCACUAGCGGAAACAUACAUAAACGGCUUACACGAGGGUAAGCAAUUGCCAUGAGUGAAAGAUAGGAAACUGAACAUCAUGAGUACUAUGAUUCACUUUAGAUCACAUUCAUUGCAUUUAACCUCAUAUUCAUGAUUCUUUACAUUGCUUUCAUCAUUUCUUCUACAUUACAUUUGCUCAAAUAAACUUUACAAUAUUUCCUUUCUUUGCUUUAAACAUCAACAUCUUAAAUCAUCAAAUACAAAAGAUGAUAAAAGGGUAAACCACUAACAAAAUGUAAACCCAUCUUUGGUGGCCUCUGACUAAGGUGCGAUACCUUUACCGCGGUCGCUCAGCGGCUCGCUCGGUCCCAGCUCUGUGGAAUAGUGGGGUGAGAACUACAAUAAAGUUUCCAGUGGGUUCGGCUCUAACCUCACCAACUUUCCCAUUAGGACUAACUCAGGCAUAAUAGAAAGGAUAAGCAGAAUAGUAACCAAAUUAUAAUCAUGAUGCUAAUAUGCCUAAACAAUAAAGCAAGAAAUAUGCUCAAUAUAAAUCAUGCAAAUAUGCAAGUUCUUUGUUCUUUACUCCUUAUUCUUUAAUCUUUACUCUUUGUUCACGUUCUUUAAUCUCAUGGCUAACCCGGGGGUUUCGCCACAUUAACUUGCCCACAUUAAGUCCAUCAUCGCGGCCCCUCACCUGCCUUCCGCUAAGACCGUCCUCGGGUUUACUGCAACCCGUGAUGCAUAACUCCGGAGCGCAUCGCCCGAGGGGGAGCGACCGCCCUCGAGCACGGAACUCAUAGCAAGUAUGAUCGAUCCUUAACUCUAAGGAUAUAUAGUUCAAUCACUGUCUUUACACUAACUCUAGUGUUCUUUACAUCACUUUAUUUUGCUAAUUCUAGCAAUCAUUGUUCUUUAACUUUACUCAUUCUUUAUGCCACACUUUGCAUUAACUUUAACCAUUGUCAUUGUUCUUUUGGUUCUUUGAUGCCACACACUAACUCUAGUGUCGACUGUAUACUUUCGAAUGCCACUCGUUCUAUGCUCUUGUGUCACUUUAUUCUUUUAUCUCAUUAGGUUCUCACAUUACCUCUCAUGCAUAUAUAGGGUGUUAUAGGUUCUCAACCAACUAGAAAUGCACGUGUACUCACAUCAUGCAGCAUUUACAUAAUUAUCAUCACAUUUUACCCUACAAUGCAUGCAACAACAAUACAUAAAUGCUCAAUUAAAUGACACAUUAGGCAUAGAGGGAAUUCCAACAAGUUUGGAUAGCACCACCCACCUCGUAGGCGUACUAGGAUCCUACAACGGUUUCCUUGGGAUUUUUAGACUCCUAGUUCGUCACCUGCGGCAAAACGAAGCCCUAUUAGGCCAUUUUGUUCAUAUCUUUACAUUGGCUUUUCGUAACGUUAAUCCGAGCGCACCAACGUGUCGGAAAUACCCCCAAUUAGGUUUCUAGAGGGUCAAUUUUAUUUUGGAACCCUCGCAUGCAAAAACCCCAAUUUGGGUGCCCUAGCUCAUAACAUAUAUCAAACCUAGGGUUUGAUCUCAUUGGGAAGCAAAAGUAGCUUCAAUCUACUCUAGAGACUCCAUAAAAAUCAUUCUUAGCUUAAUCCAAACCCUAGUUUCGGUUCUACCAUGAAAGGGGUUGAAGCUCUCCUCUAAGCUUCACCACCAACACCCAAAUCCAUGGUUUUGAUCUCAUCCACAAGCAAAAGAAAGCUUGAAACAUUCAUUAGGCUCAAUUAGAACCAUUUCUACGUCACUUAGUUCUUAUUCUAGGGUUUUACUAUAAUUAGGAUUCAAGCUUACCUCAAAGCUUCCCCCUCCUUCAAGCUAGAAACGAGGGAGAGGGAGUUUCUUCACUCCUUCUUCUCCACUUUCUUCAUCUUCUUUUCCUUUCUUUUCUUUGUCUUCUUCUUCUCCUUCUUGUCUUCUAGAGAGAGAAAGAGAGAUGAGAGGGAGUGUGUGAGGGAGAGAAUGAGAGGAAAAAGCCCUCAAAGCCCUCCACUUAACCAUUGGGUUGCACAAAUGCAAAUGGGUCCCUCAACUUUGAUUUUAUUGAACUGCUCAAACUGGGCAGAUUUCGGGUUAGCGGACCGGUCUCCCCGACUUGGGAUCGGUCCCAGAGGGCUCUCCCCGCAGCUGCGCAGGGCUCUCCGCGAUGCAACCGGUCUCUCACUGGGGGGACUGGUCUCUCGGGGACCGGUCUCUCUCCGCAGGGACCGGUUCCCGAGAGCUGGUUUUCUGGGACAGCCGAUUUUCGGCCUUUCUCAUUUCUCACGCAUUCGGGGACCGGUCUCUCCCACCAGGGACCGAUCCCCGAGAGCUCAAAAACUGCAGUUUGCAGAUUUUUGAUUCUUAGCUCUCGAAAACCUCCCAUAACGCACUUUUAAUUAUUUUAACACCUUCGGACUUUCCGAAGUGUACCGUCCUCGCACUUUGGUCAAUUUGACUAAAGUUCGAUAUUUAUUUUCCGAAUUUUCGAUAUAUUACAUUCUCCACCCCUUAAAAUAAUUUCGUCUGUGAAAUUACGUAUACCUUAACUUGUCGACUCAAAUAAAUGCAAAUAAUCUCUCUGCAUGGUCUCCUCGAGCUCCCAAGUGGCUUCUCGCACCGCAUGGUUGCUCCACUGAACCUUCACAUAAGAAAUUCUGCGACUCCGCAGCUUUCUUUCUUCUCGAUCGAGGAUGCACACCGGGUAUUCCUCAUAAGACAUAUCCUCAAGUAACUCUAUAGGCUCGUACUCUAACACAUGUGUCGAGUUUCGAAUAUACUUUCGGAGAUUUGACACAUGAAAAACAUUAUGAGCUCCACGAGUCUCGGUGGUAGUGCGAGCUUGUACGCUACCGCACCCACACGCUCUAAUAUCUCGAAUGAUCCGACAUAACGGGGACUUAGCUUCCCACGGACCUCAAAUCGCUUUACUCCUCGCAUUGGUGACACUCUCAAAAAUACGCAGCCUCCAACCGCGAACUCUAAGUCUUUCCUUCGCUUGUCGGCAUAGCUCUUUUGCCAAGAUUGCGCCGUCGCUAACCGUUGACAGGCAAGACGAACCUUUUCUUUCGCUUCCCGAACUACAUCCGGGCCGAGAGCCGUUCUCUUGCCCACGUCGCUCCAAUGAAUAGGAGAAAGACACUUGCGUCCAUAUAGUGCCUCAAAUGGCGCCAUCGCUAUGCUCUCUUGAUAAUUGUUAUUAUAGGCGAACUCCGCCAUUGGCAAGAAAUCAUGCCAUCCUCCUUUGUAAUCUAGCACACACGCUCGAAGCAAGUCCUCGAGGAUCUGUAUUGUCCGCUCCGACUGUCCAUCACUCUGAGGAUGAAACGUCGUGCUAAAGUCGAGCCGUGUGCCUAGCGCAUCCUGCAAGCUCUUCCAAAAGUGGGAUGUGAACCUAGGGUCUCGAUCCGAUACAAUUGAUACCGGAACCCCAUGAAGUCUCACAACCUCGUCGAGAUAAACUUGAACUACUCUUGUCUCCCAACCACGUAGUAUGUAUCGGUAAGAAGUGUGCCGACUUUGUCAAUCAAUCCACUAUCACCCAUAUCGCAUCGUGUCCGCCUUGUGAUCGAGGCAAACUGGUAAUAAAGUCCAUCGCUAUAUCUUCCCAUUUCCAAAUGAGUAUUGAUAGACUUUGUAGCUUUCCCGCCGAAAAUCGGCGCUCUGCUUUUACCUGCUGGCACGUUAGACAUUGCGCCACGAACUCCCCAAUAUCUCUUUUCAUUUCCGGCCACCAAUAAUGCUCUUUCAAGUCCUUGUACAUUUUAGUGCCGCCCGGGUGUAUACUAUAAGGGGAUUGGUGCGCCUCUUGCAUGAUCGCCCUUCGCAUCCCAUCAUCUUUAGGCACACACCAUCGAUUUCGAAAUCGAAGUGCACCAUCGGCUCCAAUGCCAAAAUCCUCGGCAUACCGUUCUCAACUUCACUUCGUACAUUUUGAAGAUAAGGAUCCGAAGCUUGAAGCUCUUUGAUUCUUUCCAAUAGGGUCGGUUGCACAACUAAUGCGGCAAGUGUAGCCGGCACUUCCGGCGCUACCACUUCCAACCCAAGUCGUUGCAUUUUCUUUUGCAAUAGCGGUUGAGGCGUAAUUGCCAUCGCUAAGUUCUCCGCCGAUUUUCUACUUAAAGCAUCGGCCACGACAUUGGCUUUUCCGGGGUGAUAUAGUAUAGUGACAUCAUAGUCUUUUAGCAACUCCAACCACCGCCGCUGUCGCAUGUUCAAUCCCUUCUGGGUGAACAAGUACUUUAGACUUUUAUGAUCCGUGUAGACCUCGCAAUGCUCCACAUACAAGUAAUGCCUCCAAAGCUUUAGCGUGAAAAUCACCGCGGCUAACUCGAGGUCGUGAAUCGGGUAGUUCUUCUCAUAACUCUUUAAUUGGCGUGAUGCAUAAGCAAUGACCCGCCCAUUUUGCAUUAAUACACACCCGAGACCAACAUAAGAGGUAUCACUGUAUACUACAAAAGUCUCCCCCGGAGUCGGCAAGGCAAGCACCGGGGUCGACGUCAACCUGUUCUUUAACUCCUCGAAGCUUUGAUCGCAAUCGUCGCUCCACAUGUACUUUACUCCUUUAUGCGUGAGGCGCGGUAGUGGAGUGGUUAUCUUAGCGAACCCCUCCACGAACCGCCGGUAGUAGCCCGCAAGUCCAAGAAAACUGCGGACCUCCGCUACAUUCGUCAGGCGAGGCCAAUCCUUUAUUGCCUCUACUUUCUUCGGGUCUACCGACACUCCGUCACCUGAUACCACAUGGCCCAAGAAUGUGACAUCCUUUAGCCAAAAGUCACACUUCUUUAACUUUGCAUAGAGCUUCUCCUGUCUGAGUAUUUGCAACACAACUCUCAGAUACUCCUCGUGCUCCUCCUCACUCUUCGAGUAGACCAAUACGUCGUCUAUAAACACUACGACGCAUCGAUCCAACAAUGGCCUGAAGACUCGAUUCAUCAAGUCCAUAAAUGCUGCCGGGGUAUUAGUAAGCCCAAACGGCAUUACCGUGAACUCAUAAUGGCCAUACCGCAUACGGUAUACCGUUUUUUGUACAUCCUUCGGCCUAAUCUUUAGUUGAUGAUACCCCGAUUGGAAAUCAAUCUUCGAAUACACCUUGGACCCUUGCAACUGAUCGAAUAGAUCGUCAAUCCUUGGCAACGGGUACUUGUUCUUUAUUGUCACUUUAUUCAACUCGCGAUAGUCUACGCAGAGUCGAAGUGUGCCAUCCUUUUUCUUCACAAAUAGCAUCGGAGCUCCCAACGGUGACACGCUUGGCCUCACGAAGCCUUUAUCGAGAAAGUCUUGCAAUUGGCCCUUUAGUUCCUUUAGUUCCACCGGUGCCAUUCUAUACGGAGCCUUCUAAACUGGUUCCACCCCGGGAAUCAAGUCAAUGACGAACUCAACUUCCCGGUCCGGUGGCAGUCCCUGUGACUCCACCGGAAAUACAUCUGGGAAUUCGCAUGCUACUCGAAUAUCCGCCAACUCUGGGUACUCCUUUCGAGCAUCUACCAUGGUUGCCAAAUAGGCCUUACACCUUCCUUUGAUCAUCCUCUUCGCCCUUAGAGACGAUAUGGUCGCCGCGAAGCACCUACUUUUGCACGCUUGGUAUACCAAUUCUUCUUUAUUAGGCUCACGAAAAGUGAUCACCUUGCUUUCACAAUCUAUAACCGCAUAGUACUUGGAGAGCCAGUUGGUCCCCAAGAUAACAUCGAAUCCCCACAUCUGAUCUAGCACUAGCAGAUCAAUCGGCAUAAUCCAAUCGCCUAUUUGCACUGGACACACCAAACACUCAUUAUGGACACUGAAUGCAUAUUCUGGGGCGUUCACCCACCAGUAAUUCUCGUUGUGUACCAUCUCUAUACCAUGAGUUUGAGCAAAUGAUGUGCUCAUGAAUGAAUGAGAUGCGCCUGUAUCAAAUACUGCUCUAGCUCCAGUGCCUUUAAUCACAAUUAUACCUGCCACAACGUCGUCUGGUGCUGCAGGCUACUGCUCCUCCACCUGAGCGGUAAAAACUCGGCUGAUAGGCAUCUCGAUCCCUCCGGCUGACGCGGUGAUGACGCGCGCCCAGCCGACAUUGCUGGUGGCAACCCCGCAAGCUGUCUCGGGGUAGACGGUGAUGAUGCCACUGCCGGUGAAGACGACGUCCAUGUCGGGCACUCCCGGAUAAGAUGUCCCGGUUGGCCACACUUGAAACACUUGCCGUCGCGCUGUGGGCAAGUCGACACUCGGUGCUCACCACCGCAAAUAACACAUUGAGGAGGUCUCCAGUUGCUCGACUGCUGUCGGGGAUACCGAGGGGGUUUCUUAGCAUUUGGCCGUCCCCCAGCACCACCCGUCGUUCGCUUCUUGCCUUUGUCCGUUGACUCGGCGAUAGCGUCCCUUUCUUCACGUACAUGGGCGCUACCGUGCUCCGCCCACAAAGCUCUAUCAAAGACCUCCGCAAAGAUCGUUAACUUCAAAAUCUGCACCUUUUCAUAUAUCCUCGGCUGGAGUCCUCGCAAGAACCAAUCAGCCCGAUCCCGAUCAUCUCGUACAAUAUCGGGAACGCAGUCGAUAAAGUGAGAGAACUCUUGCUCAUAUUCUCCCACCGAUCGGUCACACUGUCUCAACUUGCGGAAUUUUUCUUGCAACCUCCGCUUCACCGCGUCGGGGAAGUAGUUCGCGAACACCGCUCUCUUGAACUCUUCCCAAAGCAUGAGCGGGAGAUCGGCAGGUCGAUCCCGCUUGACUCGCUUCCACCACACCAUCGCCGCCUUCUCAAGAUAAUGGGUGGCAAGGUAUACCUUGUCCUUCUCCGAGGUAUUGAGGUCCUCGAAGAGCGUUUCUAUCGAGUCGAUCCAUAACUCCACAACCGCUGGCUCCACCAAACCACCUUCAAAGACAGGUGGGUUGAACUUCUUAAACUGGAUGAGAGCGGCCAACGUGCGCUCCCGCUCUGCCUCUAUCGCCGCACUAUCGGGAUUUGAAGUUCCCGAUCCGGCCGGCACGGCCGUAACUGGCACAGCCGCAACUGGCUCCGCCGCUAAACCCUUGACCGCAAUAGGGGGCGCAGAAGGUCCGGCACCCGCCUGCGACGCUGCCGCCUGUUAUCGCUCAAUAGCCUCUUGGAGCCUUUGGAUCUGCUCCCCUUGGCUUCGCACAGACUCUGCUUGCUGCAGCAUUACUCCAAUAAGCACGGCCACUUGAUCCCUAAGCUCUCCAUCGCCACUCGCUCCGGAUCGCUCGGGCUCCACACUCGGCUCCUCAGGCAUCGACCUCGUCUGCGGUCGACCACGAGGUGCCAUUGCUUCCUGAAAAGAAGCAACUCACGUUAGCUACUCGACCAACAUUAUUCAUCAAUACCCAAUUCGGCGAAAGCAACUUAUGCAUUCGUUCUCACCCCAAGCAUCAUGUCGUCGGCCGCCCGACACGAAACAACGAGUAGGAAACAAAUGAAAAUUAAACUUAGCCUCUAAUCACAUUAGAGACGGCCCAACUUAACCUAAUCACAUGCUUUCGCUAACUUUGAUUCCACGUCACUCACGUUUUCUAGAUCUUUAAGGUCUUCCAAUCCAAAGGGUCUCUAGUUCCAUUCCUAUUCUUUCACUCUGGGCUCUGAUACCACGAUAUCUGUCACGCCCCAAGACCGAUACCAAUUUGGGCCGGCCCGAGCACGUCAAACAGACGCCGAACGGACAGAGUUUCCCAUAUCCGCCAAAGACUCAUCACCUGUACAAUUUCAACCAAAAAGUGUACUAGCGGAAACAUACACAAACGGCUUACACGAGGGUAAGCAAUAGCCAUGAGUGAAAGUGUCACGCCCCGGGACCCAGCGGAAGCCCGCCCGGCGCGUGUCCAGACCCGCCAUACGUCUAAAACAUAUAAGGCGUCUAAAAACAAUAAUAAUAAAAGCAGUAAUAAAAGACAUCUAGGAGUAUCAGAGCGUAAUAAAUGUCUAAAUGCUACAACAAAGGAUAAGGAUAAAACUGUAAAUCCACUAAAUAAAACAUAAAGUGAUACAAGGAAAUCCCAGAUACAAGUGCUAUAGGUAGAUACAUAGGUGGUCUCUAUACAUGGAUACAAAAACCUCUCACUCUCUCAACUACAAAAAGAAAGAGUAAACCACCUAGGCAAAGUACCGCUCCUCGCUAGCUAGCUAAGCGAUCCCCUUGCCGCGAUCCCGUGCCUCCGCCGGUGCCGAAGGCUCUGAAAAGAAAACCAGAAAACAGGGGCGUGAGAACUAUUAAAAAUAGUUCCCAGUGGGCAAUUACUGACUUCAGUGAACUGCGCCACAAGGCCCAAAAGCUACAAAAAGAUGUCAGUGACAAACAAUAAAGUAAAGCGAAAGGUAAGUAAAAUGUAACUUACUGUAACAUACAGUCUCUACUUAGCAUGAAUUGCAUAUGUAAUAGAGCAACAAUAUCAUGAAUGUACAUGGGUGUGUAUGACAUGCAUAAGCAUAGAAAUGCAACUAAUCCGAUGUCCUCAAUGCAGAAAUAGCAAAGGUGUCAUUGUUUACUAUUCUAGUCCAAGUCCACUUUAAUAGUUUUAAAGUUCACAUAGCACGUUCUGUCACUAAGUCCCAAUCAUAUAAGACCCACCCGAAGGCUGUCUGGCCUGCGCCGUGCCUAAUGGCCCCGUGGUAGUCAACAUCCCCACUCUAGGGAUGAGCCUCCCCCACGGCAAUCCACUUCGGCGCCCAAUCCCGCACGGGCGAGCAUAUGUCGCGAUGGCUAUCUCCGGAGUGCCGGCUUGUAGGGAGCGACCCUCACAAGCAUGUGCGAAUGAGCACAAUGGCAAGCAAGCAAUGAUCCGUCUCAAGAACCAAGUCCUCAUGUCUAACAACAUGGAAUAUAUCAAGUAUCUCAAUGGCCUAUCUCUAUGUCAUCAUGUCUCUAACAUGGAAUGUAGCAGAUAUGUAGUGGCCUAUCAACAUGUCUCUAUGUUGCAGUUUAAUAGUUUACUAGUUUCAAGUGCCCCUUGAUGACACUUUUGUUCAACGAGUUCCAAGCAUGGCAUUAAUAUGUUCAUGAUGCAUAAUUCACUCAACUCUAGCAUGGAGACAUGUUCUCAACUUGCAAAACCAAGCACUAUCCACAAUGCAUGCAAUCUACACAUAUAGCUCUACUAUAUGGAGUACAAAUUUUACGAUAUAUGAGGCAUGCAUGUUAAGUGUUCUAAAAUUCACAUAAAUCAUAUUUAGCAUGAAUUUGCAUUCAAAAAUACUUUACGAAAAGUUUAGAAGGCAUAGGGGCCAUUUUGCCCUAUUUUCAUGAAGUCAAACCCACCGAUGACAACGAAACUCUUCGUUUGCUCCAACGAGGGUGUCCUCCACACCCCUAGUACCCUAAAGGUAUAAGAACAAGUGUCACAUGAACCAAACGAACAAAACUUAGCUCAAUCAUUAAGCUAAUCACGCAUAGGUGAGGAAAACUCACCUCUAGUGCAAAAAUCUCCUCUAAGGCUUCAAAAGGGAGUUAGAAUCCUUCCAAUCCAAGCCAAAGGAAGAUUCUAAUCCCAACAAUCUAGCCUCAAAAGCCCUAGAUUCAAAAUGCCCAAAAUAAGCCCUAAAACCUCAUUCUAGGGUUUAAUUCCAAAAACAUCAAUAAAGCUAGGAAUUUAGAGAAAAGAACAAGUCAUUUACCUCUAAAAUGCUCCAAUCCAAGCUCUAAACCAUCAAAGUCCAAAGAUCUCUCCUUCACCAAGCCUCAAAUCCAAGCUUCUAGCUCCAUCAAUGGUGGAAAAGCAUAAAAGAGGAAAGAAAAGGGAUUAAUCCAUCAAAAUCCAUCUACAACGGAGAUCAAAUCCAAGUGGAGCAAGGUGGAGCUCCUCUCACCUUCUCCUCCUCAGGUCCCAGCACAAAAGAAGCCCUAAGGGGCGUGGGUGCUGUUAUAGAUAGGCUACAAUCGCGAAAAACCCCCUGCAGUUCAAACUGCACGAAAUCUGCCUCCUUGUACCGGUACACGGGCUCUUGUACCGGUACAAGGCCCACGAAAAUGCAAACCCGAGGCUCGGGUCGCGGGGUUUGCGGCUCUGUACCGGUACAAGCCCGAUGGCUGUACCGGUACAACCAUCAAACUUGUACCGGUACAAGACCAGUCUUGUUCCGGUACAAGCUCUGCUGCAGGCUACCCGAGAGCUGACCAAAAAUUUCGGUUUUGGGAUUUUGGUGCCAAGUCUCAAUCCAACAUCCUCGGGAUGCGUGCCAGGGGUCGGAACACUAUCAACGACCCUCCAAAAAUUGUGAAAAGGCUCCACACACAGAUCAAACACUCGAAUCUUGCGAUUUGCAAGAUCCAGUGCAUUACAUUUACCCCUCCUAAAAAGGAGUUUCGUCCGCGAAACUCGAAAAAGGCAAAGUACCUCAAGCCUCCAUCUGAAAAAGAUGGGGAUAGCACUCCUGCAGCGCACUCUCUAGCUCCCACGUGGCCUCGCGCUCCGCGUGGUUGCUCCAAAAAACCUUCACAUACGGAAUGUCCCGAUUCCGCAGCUUUGAACGAGAUGGUGGCUUGGAUAGGCCGCACGUGUUGCAGAAAGUGCAUAGCUAGGAAGCCUCCAUGUAAGUACUAGGUCGAGUACAAAACCUUCGAUAUGGUCACCUCGACGUACUCCUAAACUCGAAGCUCCUCGUUGGACACUUCUAAGAUCGAGCGCUUCACUUCNNNNNNNNNNNNNNNNNNNNNNNNNNNNNNNNNNNNNNNNNNNNNNNNNNNNNNNNNNNNNNNNNNNNNNNNNNNNNNNNNNNNNNNNNNNNNNNNNNNNUGUAUAGAGACCACCUAUGUAUCUACCUAUAGCACUUGUAUCUGGGAUUUCCUGGUAUCAUUUUAUGUUUUAUUUAGUGGAUUUAUAGUUUUAUCCUUAUCCUUUGUUGUAGCAUUUAGACAUUUAUUAUGCUCUGAUACUCCUAUAUGUCUUUUACUAUUGUUUUUAUUGUUGUUGUUUUUAGACGCCUUAUAUGUUUUAGACGUACGGCGGGUCUGGAUACGCGCCGGGUAGGCUUCCGCUGAGCCCCGGGGCGUGACAUCACCAUAGCAUGAUGUUCUUCAUGGAUGGUGUCGUGGAUUCGGCGUGACUGAAGGUGGUUCGUGGAUUCGGAUCGUGGGCUCGUGGAUUCGAGUGGCGUCGUGGAUUCGGCGUGAUCAAGGCUUUGUGGAUUCGAAGUAUUGGCAUUUCGUGGAUUCGGGACGUGGCGUUCGUUGAGUCAGACGUGGGGCGUGGACAACCCAUUGGUGUGCGCGAGAUCCCGAGAAGAUAAAAGAGAGGUUUGAGUCCGUGGAUUCGGUAAAUCACUUUGUAAUCUUUUAUUCUUAGUGGAUUGUUAUCGCGUGUUCGUCCCGUAGGUUUUUUACUCCAAGUUGGAGUUUUCCCACGUAAAUCUCGGUGUGAUUUUUAUUUUCUGCAUUUAUUUUUAUCGCAUUGAGAUUUGUGAUUUUUGGCCGUUACACCUAUUCACCCCCCUCUAGGUGUUUGAUACAAUCUAGAUAGAUCCUUGGACACCCCUAAACUUUCAAUUGGUAUCAGAGAGGGAUCUAGAUAAAUUGCUAUCUAAUGGCCGAAGACGGUAACAUUAAUCAACCACCACUCUUCGAUGGCACGAAUUAUGCCUAUUGGAAAGUUCGCAUGAAAGCUUUUCUAAUUGCAAUCGAUGAGUGAGUAUGGCAAUCUAUUCAAUUCGGAUGGAAACAUCCAACCGAAGUCAUCGAUAAUGCUACCGUCCCUAAACCUAGAAACAAGUGGACAAAAGAUGAAAACGAGUUAUCUUUGUUUAAUGGCAAGGGCAUAAACGCUUUAUUUAAUGCAUUGUCUCAAACGGAGUUUACUCGUGUUUCGGCGUGUAAUACCGCCAAAGAGAUUUGGGAUACUCUACAAGUUACGCAUAAAGAAACUUGCUUAGUAAAGGUCCAAAAAUUGCAAAUAUUAACGAGCAAAUUUCACUCAAUUCUUAUGGAAGAAAACGAGACCUUUACCGAGUACUAUACGCGACUACAAGAUGUUGUUAAUACAUGUGGUAACUUGGGAGAGAAAAUUCCGAGUUCUAAAGUUGUUAGAAAAAUUCUUUAGACUCUUCCGGAACGCUUUAGGGCAAAGGUUGCCGCGAUCGAAACCAUUAAGCAUCCGGAUGAGAUGAAAGUAGAGGAAUUAGUAGGCGCUUUACAAACGUAUGAAAUGACUUUUCCUACUAAUCAAUCUUUUACCAAGUCUUCUUCUGAGAGUACAUGGAUUGCACUUAAAUCUACAAAGGAAGAAGACGACGACUCUUAUUCCGACGGAGAUGUUUCGCUCGCUAAUUUCGAACAUCAACUCGCGCUCUUAACGGAGAAGUUUCGUCGAAAUUUUCGAAACAAGAACAAAUCGGGUCUGUCACGUCCCGUUAUCGCCAAUUUGGUCGAUCCGGGCCCGCGCACAGACGCCGAACGAACAGCACCUCCUCUGUUCGCCCAAGGCUCAACAACAACGAGUACAUGUAUACAGAAAUAAAUAAUUCUCAGGAUCACAUUUCAAUAUACAUGGCUUGCACGAAGGCAAGCAACAAAUACAAGUGAUAGUAAGUCUAACUAAACAUAAAAUCCACUGUAAUUUAAAACUUUACAUAACUGAAACCUUUAGUUAUUACAUGCUUCAUAUACAUUCAUUUACAUGUCUCUGUACAUCAAAAUAGAUGAUACAUGAACUCAAAAUGGUAACUACUAAAACUCUGGUGUCAGCUAGCUAAGCUGCAGGGCCCUUGCCACGAUCCUCGACCACAACGCUCGCACUGGAACCUGUAUGGUUAGUGGUGUGAGAACUACAAAUAAGUUUCCAGUGGGUUCGGCUGCCGACCUCGCCGACUCACCCACUAGGUCUACUCAGGCAUAUGUAGGCAAGAAAAGUAAGCAGAUAGUAACCAACUAUAACAUGUAACUACUACAAUGCCUGUACAAAGCUGAAAGAAAUAACAGAUAUGGAAACUGUAAAGAUGCAUGCAUGCUUUUCAUUAACUUUACCCAAUCUUUUGGUUAACCCUCUGGUUAACAGCUGGACAAGUACGUUAGUCCUGGGGCAAGUACGUUAGCCCAUAAAUUUACCCAAUUCAGUGGUUAACCCUUUGGUUAACAAUAACUCACCAACGAAAUCCCUCACGGGCCCUAAGCUGCCUCCCGAUGGGACCGUCUGUCGGACAAGUACGUUAGUCCUGGGGCAAGUACGUUAGCCCAACAAGUGACUACUCCGGAGCUCACUGCCUGGGGGGAGCGACCACCACCAAGCUAAGAAAACAGACUAUGUGAGUAAGAUCUGAUCCCCCUUUAGAGGAUUCAACUGACAACAAUGUCACAAUUUAACUCUAACUAGUUCUUUAUACUAGUUUCAUAAUUGCAUUUCUCGAUGCUAACCAAAUCUCUAGUCAUGAUGUCACCAAGUUUACUAUUGUCUUGGUCCUUUACAGUUUCAUACAUUCAUAGGGUUCUAUGUCCACAUUCUAAUGUUCAUAUGUUCUUACUAUCAAUAAGAAUUCACACGUUCAAUAUCACUUGCAUAAUGCCAAUGCCCAUACCCUAUAAUGCAUGAAUACAGAAGUAAAUAUGCUCAAUGAAUAGCAUAGACAUAAAAGGUGAUUCAAAGACUUCGGAUAGCACCACCCACCUGUAGUGGUGUCAAUCAACUAAAAUCCACGUCUCGGAAAGCGUCGACGACUAUCUCAGCGACUCCGUGCAAAUAGGACUAGAACGGCCGCUACCGUAAUUAGCGCGUCGCCGACCUGUCGGAAAGUCAAUUUAGACUCUUGGACAUGUUUACUUUUCACUUAUAAAGAAUUAGAAAAGAUUAACCUAGAGUCAUUACUCAUAUUCUUACAAAUUAGCAUUUCAAUGCUAUAUAAAACGGCAACUAUAGCCGAAAACCUUCUUUUGGCGAUAUCUUUGCGUAGGUUCGUCGGAUUGCCGAACCGACUUCGCCAACGCGUUUCUUUUACCCUCAAUUUGGUUUACGCGCGGUCAAUUUCGCAUUAGGACUCUUAUUUUGCAAAAGUGCAUUGGCGGGGUCAGUUUCUAUAAAAACCCCUUUCGAUGCAAUUUCACAAUUCAAUUUCUUCUUUUCUUUCAUUUUUCCUCUUCUUCUUUCCUUUCUUUCUUUCUCUCUUCUUUCCUUUCUUUUCUUUCUUUUCUUUCUUUCUUUCUUUUCUUCCUUUCUUUCUUUCUCUUUUCUUGCUUGCUGCCCCUGCAAGGCAGCAGCUGCUGCUGUUGACAGCAGCUGCUGCUGUUGACAGCAGCUGCUCCAGGCUGCUGCUGCUGCUGCUGCUGAGGCUGCUGCUGCUGUUGCUGCUGCUAGCUGCAGCUGCUGCUGCUACUGCUGCUGGCAGCAGCUGCCACUGCUGCUGCUGCUGAGCAAGCUGCUGCUGCUGAGGCUGCUGCUGCUGCUGCUGCUGCGCAUGCUGCUGUGCUGCGCAUGCUGCUGCUGCUCACUGCUGAGCUGUUGCUGCCACUGCUGCUGCUAAACUGCUGCUAAGCAGCAUAAGCUGCUGCAGCUGCUGCUGCUGCUGCUGCUGGCAGCAGCUGCUGCUUGCCCUGCUGCUGCUGCUGCUGCUUGCAGCAGCUGCUGCUCGCUGAGCUGCUGCUGCUGCUGCUUGCUGCUGCUGCUGAAGCUGCUGCUGCUGAUGCUGCUGCUGCUUGCUGCUGCUGCUGAAGCUGCUAUUGCUGCUGCUGCUACAACCAGUAGCAGCAGGGAGAGAGAUGAGAGGGAGAGAGAUGACAGGGAGAGGUAGAAAACUCACCUCUUAUCUUCUUCUUUUUCUUCUUCUUCUUCUCUUUACUCUUCUUCUCUUUUCUUCUCUUUUCUCUUAUUUUCUUUUCUCUUCUUUUCUCCCUCUAUCUCUCUCUACGUAUGGGCUGCAGAGGGGGGGAUAAGGAUGGGACUCUGGCAGGGAACUUAGUGGAAUUCCACUAAGCAUGGGUUAAUUACCAUAAUGCCCCUCGACUUAUCCGUUUAGCGACACGGAUCAAAUACCUUUCGCAGUCCCUUCCGAAAGUCCGAUUGAGCUCAAAUUUGACAGGAAUGUUCGUUUUUACUUAACAAGUCCACUGAAAUUUUAACAUUUCAGUUUCGACCCCGUUUGGUCACUGCGAACUGUCCCGAACUGUAAUCUUUAUCAGAUAGCUUUCGGAUGCUAUUUCUCUCUCUACGGGUGUCAGAAAAAUCUGAAACUUCAAAUAUAGCCUCAUGAAAACAUUCCUGACAUCUCUACGAAUUUUUAUAAUUUUCUGACACCGUGCAUUUUCUGCUAAUUUCUCAGUCCCGUUCUUUACAGAAAAUUUCAAUUCUUCUGUUUUCGCUCCGAUUUCGGCACGAGUCAUACCAGACUAACUUGGGUACUCCAUAAAUUAUCUCCAAGCCUCGCUUUAAUUCUUUAAAUCAAAGUUAGCGUCAGAAUUCCGAAAAUUCUAUUUAUAUUUCGUUUCGCGCCCAAUUUGCGCCGAAACACUUAUUUAUCAUUGGAAUUCAUUCUCACGCGUCCAAAGUCACUCG